rnacentral:lncRNA from 1 species
CUUUCUUUUCACUUACCUACCUCUUUUUGAGAUUGGGGUUUUUUCAUAUCCGCUCUAUGUCAAUUCAUUUUUGUUUUUCCUUUCAAAAGGUUUCCAUUAUUCACCAUUUCGCAUCUUCAUUCGCUUUCUAACUCCAUUUAUAGAUUUCGAAUCCCUACAGGUGUUGUUACUGUUAGGAGCUUCAUUAACAUGCCAUUUCAGACCCUUACAUUAUGUUUUCCUUGCAUAAGGUUUUGCUCGCAAAUUCCAUCUUUUGGUGAUUACGAUGAAGACUUUGAGGUUUCUGAUUUCACCAACUGUACUAAUUAAUUUCAUGUUUUUGAUUACUUUCAUCAGAAUGGUCCAUCUUUAUUACCCUGGCUUUGAACAACCUUGGGUAAUCUUCCUUUCUUUCUAUUGAAUCAUAAGCUUAUGUAUGCAUUGUCAAUUUUGUUAUCCAAUUGCUUGGAAAGUGUGCCGGUUGUACUUUCUGCAAACUAAAACCUUUGAUGUUCUACAGUUUGAGAUUUUGCAAGUGCCUUUGUUUAAGGAAGGAUCUAUUUUUAGCCACUUGAAGGAUGUAAAAUCCCAACUCUACUUGAUUCUAACCGUUUCACAAUAUAUUUAAAUUAGAUGAUAAGAAGGAUCAAAGAUGAUAAUUAGAUUGAAAUUUCAAGGAGACCUUAUAAGUGAAUAAGCAGCUGUCAAUCCAAAGGUUUCAUGAUAACAAUGAUGAGAGGAACGAAAAGUAAUCGCCAUGUUUAUUUUUCCAUUUCAGGUUUAGGAGUUUUCCACAAUUUAAAGCUUUUAGAUGAUGAGAUGGGGACUGAGAUUAGUUUAUACUCUCCUUCUUCAAGUUGAAAGAAAUCAUAAAUCAUGACUUCCCCAGGUGCAUUCUACAAUGAUCUAAAUGAUUUUUUCUUUUUAUUUAUGGUGUAAGCGAUUGUUUUAUUCCCCCAUGUAGCUACUCCCUUAAAUUGAUUUUGUUUGUUGAUGGGAGGAUGGUUGGUUGCUAAAUAAUGGAUUUAUAUUUUUUUAGUAUUACUUUUCCUUUAAGUGUUGCUCUUUGUUAUGUUUCUCCAUUUCAAAAAAUAAGAUUGAGAGCUAUUGAAGUUGAAAAAUGUUCACAAUUUACUUUUCAAGUGGUUGAGAUCUUUACUAACACAUUUCCAAAUUCAGGUGGUGCUUAUCGAAAACUCUUCACAGCUAGACAUGCUAAAGGCAUUGGUUAGAUAAGAAACUGGGAUAAAGGGAAUUCAAACAUGCUAUAACAUGCUCAAGGCAUUGGUUAGAGAAGAGCGUGGGUAUCAAGGGAAUUCAAACAUGUUAUAAGUGAUGGAGAAUUUGUAGGCAGAGACAUGGAUAUGCUAUUGCAAGGCCUCAGCCUCAACCUUUACCCGCCUGCAAUCCGCCCUCCGUUGUUUCCCACUUCCAGACCCGGUGAUUAAAUUCUUACUUUUCUUUUGAGGUUUUACAAGUUGUUCCAUUAUGUGUUUUUUCUUAUAUAAAUUUUGGAAUCAUUUUCUUCCCAAACCUGUACAUUUUGAUAAUUGAAUCCAUAUCCUCUAUUUAACUAAUUGUUAAAAGUUUGUAAAGGUUUAAUUCAAUAUUUUCCAUAACAACAAAGCUAUAUGUAGUCCCAUAUUUGGCUAUAUACAUAUAUGGUAUAUCCGUAACUUUAGCAAGGCAAUAUGUUCAGCUUAUACAAUUAGUAGUCUAAUCUAUAUUUAGGAAGAAGUUAAAAUUUGGAUUAUGACCAUACUGAUCAGUAAUCUAAUAUAUAUAUUUUGUAAAUGAAAAAGUUUAGGCACUAGAUUAAAAGUGCUUCAGUAUAACAUAAGCAUAGUUUCUGCAGCUUUGAGGGCAACUUUGUAAUUUAAUACACAAUUCAACAUGAAUGUGAAACGGACAAAAAAUGUGCUCUUUAAAAUUAGUAGGUAUUGUUGAAAAGCAGGUAUUGUUGAAAAGUUUAUAAGAGGUGCAUCCCCAAGAAAACGGACAAAAAGUGUGCUCUUUAAAAUUAGUAUAAAAUGACACUGAUGUCAUGAACAUCUUCUUUUCAUUUCCAUUUGUGCCUUAUCAAUGUAGACAAGAUAGUUUCCCUCUUGCUUUUUUAGGAAAUGUUCAUGCUCAUGGACUAACCACACUAUUUUAUCUUAUGCAUGCAUAUCCUUAAUCAUUUUUGUGCAUGGAUUCUGAAGUGGUUGAUGACACUAAUGUGGCAUAUACCGCCAUCCUUUUGGUUAAUUUUGUAUAACUAAUUUUAUUCUGCAAAUGAAAUUCUUUUGUAGUCAUAUUAAAUGCUUAAUUCUAAUUUGUGCUCUGAAGCAUUUAACUGCUAAAAGUUGCCUUUCUCCUCUGUUGCUCAAUUGGAUCUGGACCUGCAUUGAUUAUUUUUUGUGUUACUACCAUCUAUUAGUAAAAUUCCAUUGAGUUUCAUAGGCUAUAGAACCAGGAAGUUGAGGGGAUUGAGAUUAUGUCAUGUAUGAAAGGGGAUGAACUGCUAGGUUAACAUAGGCUCACUUUUGCAUUCUCAAGGAUUAUGUUGAAUUUUAAUUCUGCAAUGCACCUUCUCUUCCUUUCCUUUUUCUCACUGAUUUCACUUUCUUGACAGACACCAAGCUCUAAUUGGAUUCCGCUCUAUUUGAACUAAAGAGGGUAUGAUCAAUUUCCCUUCUUUUUUUUCUUCUUAAUUUUGUUGUUCUUCUUUGAUUGUUCUGUUAUGUUUAUGGAUCUAUGUAAUAUUGCAGUUCAUAACCGGAUGAAGAGUGUGAAGAAUAUCCAAAAAUCACCAAGGAAUGAAGAUGGUUGCUGCUCCCAAGCUACAAGUAUAUUCUUUUUUUAUGAUGAUCAAAUUCCCUUCUUUUCCCCUUAUUUUUCUUAAUUUUGUUGUUCUUCUUUGAUUGUUCUGUUAGAUUUAUGGAUCUAUGUAAUGUUGCAGUUCAUAACCGGAUGAAGAGUGUGAAGAAUAUCCAAAAAAACACGAAGGAGUGAAGAUGGUUUCUGCUUCCAAGCUACAAGUAUGUUCUUUUUUUAUGAUCUAUAAACAAACUUAAAUUGCAGUCUCACCCCUUUCAGACUGUAGUGUUUUUUUUUAUAAAAUGUGAUCUACAUGGGAAUGAUUAAGCAGUGAUUUUGUGCAAGAGUAACACACAGUGAUGAAAUUAAUGGAGGAUUGGAAAAAAAAGACGGAUAGGGAGAAAGAUUGGAUUGCUUUACAAAGCAAUUCAGUUUAUAAGAAAUGUGAUAAUAAACCUGAUGAGACAAUGGCUUGGAAGGACAAUAGAUGAAGUGUGUUGUGUUCACAUCUCUUUAUCGGAGCCCUAAAAUUAUGAAACUGAAACCAUGUUUACUUUCAAGAGGUGCUGAAGCUUGAAACGUUUCUCAUGUUUGUCCUAUUGAAAGAGAUCAUAAUAUUAAAGUCCCAAGGUUAGACUCCUUUGCUGACAUAUUGACACUAGGAAAUUAUCUGCAAUUCUCAUAAAUAUAACAUGUUUGGACAGCAUCCCUUAAAUUUGUUAAGACUUUAAUUUUAGUGGUGAUAAGUUCAUUUUUUCAAAAAAAAUGUACAUGUACCUUUAGCUAUUUUCUUUUUAGUGGCUGUAAUUGUAAGUUUUGAUUAUGAAUUGCAGCAAAUUGUGAAACAUGUCAUUGAUAUUUGUAGGUAUUUUUGAAGGGAGCUGCUAUUGUAGUUUCAGGAACAUCUUUGCUUGCCAAUCCAAUUUUAUGUGCUUACAGAUUGUUGUCAGAUAAAUGUCGCAGCAAUUGAUGAAACCAUUGUUGCUUCUUUGGACUUUUUCUGCAUUAUCAUUGGCAUUAUGUAAAAUUUGUAAGAACCAUACCACCAUUAAGAUCACAUGAUUCUUUUCCAAACAUUUUCUUAGUAGAAUAAUUAUUAUUCAUGAGUCAUUCCUUCAUAUGUUUCUUCUUUUCUAUUGGAUGUGAUAUAAUUAAGGGAUUGCUAAUUAGAAAAUAAAAACAAUGUGAUUUUAAUCUUACUCUGUUGUUGUCCUUCAUUAGGUCCACCCCAUAAACUCAACAACAACCCACGUAGGAACCAUGCUAAACUUAAAGAAAGGGUGGUGUAAUCAAUAUGCUUAUUGAACCUGAUAACUUUCGAACUUCUAAGGCAUGACUUAGGACUUACCUUUGAUAGGUUUUCCUUUUAUUUUUUUUCCAAUCUGUUUAAACUUCUUUCUUCCCCAUGUUUUUUCCUCACCAAUGCAUUUAAAAGCUGACAGUGCACCUUUCUAAAUUCCUUCUACUAAAUUGUGAAAUUAUGAAGCUUAUAUAAAUGCAAUUUAAAACUGCUAAUAGUUGAAAUUUGAAUUUAAAAUGAAAUUAAAAUUAAAACUGAAAGUCAGUUGUUAAAUACCAAUAUGCUUAUUCAAAUUUUGUUUUUUUUGUACAUAGGAAAACUAAACAAAGAAAUUAAUGCUCUUCCCUGUCCAAAGACAGGAGAUGCAACACCACCCUAGGGGGAACAACAAGCUCAGUAAAUGGACAUUGCAGAGACGCUCCCAAUCCCGCUAGACAAUCCGUCGGUUCAUUGCCCUCUUGAGGAACAUGAGUAAUAGAAACCUCCCAAGCCCUUGAGAGCAGCAACUGAAUUUCCAACAAAGCACUCAUGUAUCUGUGGAACUGGAACUUAUUCAACUUUUGUUUGAGUAGCUGAAAUAAUAAUUAAGAUUCUAAAAGAUUAUAUAUGAGUGCCAUUAACUAUCAAAUGAAGUGUAACAGCUACACGGAAUUGAUAAAUGCAAUCUAUGACUAAUUAAACGUGACAUAUGCAAUAAUGCAUUGGAACGUUAAGUAUAGAUAGGCAAAUAAAAAGGCUUCUAAAAGAUUAUAUAUGAAUGCCAUUAACUAUCAGAUGAAGUGUAACGCAUGAAACAGCUACAAGGAAUUGAUAAAUGCAAUCUAUGACUAAUUAAAACAGAAUUGCCUAAUUAAAAGUGACAUAUGCACCCCUGUAUGACAGCUCAAGUGAAAGGAGCUAAAACACAUAUGAGUUUGGUAGGGAAGGUCCAGGGAUCGAUUCCUAGCAGGUGCAAUUUAUCUUUUCGAUGUACCAAAAAAAUAUGGCAUAUGCAAUAAUGCAUUGGAACGUUGAGUAUAGAUAGACAAAUAAAAAAAAGCAGAAUUAGAUACUAAAUAAUGUAUUAGCUUAAAAUGUCUAAAUGUGUUAUAACUUGCUAUUUGAUUUCGUAAUGAUUUCCUCUUUGUUUUCAUUCCACUUUAUAUUGGGCAGUUUCCAUGUAUAAAUGAAGCUUCCUAAUUUUUCAUGGUUUACAAAUAGAAUUUUUUCAGGGUAAAAAAAAACUUUCUAAUUUAUGGUUCCUUAUAUCUAAAUUUAAUUUUAUUCUUUUAAUUCAUAAACUUUCUUUUAUUAAAUAUAACAAAAAUAACACAAUUUUUGAAAAAUUACAUGUUAUAAAAAGUGAAUAUUAUCUGAGGUUAUUGCUAAAUUUUACAACGGGGCUUCAUUCAUUUCCAAACAUAUGAGAAGUACAUGAAGCUACAUAUGACACAUUUAAGGACAUGUGCUAUAUGAUGAGUUUACUCGAAGAUGUUAAAGAAUACAUUGAUGAAAUAAUAGAAGAUUUUCAUUGGGUUGCUACAAACGAUCUUAGAAGACAUUUGCUACUUUGUUGUUAUCAUAUCAACUCUGGAGGGAAGAAUUUGUUUGGAAAGAAACAAGAGAAUAUUUGAAUGAUGAUAUUUUACAUAGACAAAGACUUCUUAUGCAACGUAGUGGAAAUUACAUUUUUAAUUAAAACCCAGACUAAAAAGAGGACAGGAACUACAAAUAAACAAAAUAAUUACGUUUCUACAAAAUAAAAACAAACACAUUCAUCAAGGGAAAAAUUACAAAUUUAUGUUUGCUUAUAUUUCAAUUUUUUUUCUUUUAAUUCCUAAGUUUUUCUUUCAAUAAACAUAACGAAAAUAACACAAUUAUUUAAAAAAAAAAUACACACAAAAACGAAAUGAAUACCCCGUGCAUCGCACGGGUAAAAAGUACUAGUUUUUUCAUAAAUCACAUCAUAUUUUAAGUUUCCUUAAGUGAUAUAUUUUGCUCAUAUUAUGUGUUUUUAGUUUUUAUAUUGAGGUAAUAAUAUUAAAAACUAGCGCACAAUAUCAUCGGUGCGGGGUGGAGCAGAGGUUGCCCGCGAUGGAGACAUAUGUAGGGUGCAAUUCAUCCCGGUCGUCGCAUCGCUAGGUCACUGCUGCCAAGAUAGGGUUUUUUUUUAGGAAAAAAAAGGUUUAAGAAAGUCCAAAAUUCCCUUAGAAUUAUAACUUUAGGGCAAUUUUUUUUUUUGAUAGGCAAUAAGAAUUAUAUUGAAUAGAAAUACAAGGGGUACUUCAACCCAAUACAAAGAGAAAGAAGAGUAAGGAAUAGAAAAGCUAAGAGCUAGCAAGUACAAAAAAACAAGGAUCCUAAAUAAGACGAAACUACCCCACCUAAUACCUCCUUGAAAAUAGACUUAACAAAACAAGCCUCAUUAAAACCUUACUAGGAUAAAACCCCCCUUAGGAAAACCUAGCAAGGAAAAAGAGUACAAAUUUUGAAAAGUCAAGAGGAGAUUUUCAAGGAAGCUUACAAAAAAUUCUAAUAACCCUCCCAGCCCCAGCUGCCAAACCAUGCCUCCAAUUCAUGCUGUAGCCUCAAGUACCCUCCUGAUAGCCUCCUCUCAUGUUAUCACCAAAACCAUAAUGAGAAAAAUAGCUUUAGCAUCCCAAGCAUAUUCCGCAACCAUACCAUACACUAGACAAGGAAGAGUGACCCCAAUUCCAAUUAACCAGUAAUAGUAGCCAGCACCAUAUAUAAACCACUUAUGACUUACAAGAGAUGAUACACCAAGUAGUUGCCUGCAGCAAGAAAAUUCCAACAUCCAUAGCAAGCAAAUAGCAUCAGCAGACCCACAAACCAAGACGCACGACAAGGGCCCAAAUCAAGUCACAAUUAGUCAAUUACCCAAUUAAUCUCCAGACCCUCUAAAGUUGAAUAAUACAAGAACAGGGAUCCUAAAGCCAUUCAUAUAGCGAGCUUCUAAAAUCCUUUUUUUUUGGUGCAUCGGAAAAUUAACUUCUAAAAUCCUUUAGCAUUGAGUGGGGGGUUUUAUUUUAUUUCUUGAUUCUAUUAGUUUGGAGUAUUUUUUUGUUUUGAAUUCCUUGAAACUCGUUUUGCACUGCCUCCUUCCACCUUUCUUCUCCCUUAGACCCUUGCUUUUACAUCUCCACCACUUAGACCACCAUUACUUGAAAAGUGUCAUGCUUCAAUAUCUAAUUUAGCUUUUUUCAAAAACCCUACUGCUAAGUUUAGCAAAAAUUCAGUAGAGGAGUAAUGACAUUUUCCCCCACGUUAGUAUGUAAACUCAAACUGAGUAUGAUAAUUAAGGAUGUCAAGAAACUGAUGGUGAAGGGUAUUGAGUGACGAUAGUGGUGAAGAUCAAGGGUGUCAUGUAGUGGUGGAGAUAGUGAAGGGUGUCGCCUCACGACCAAGUUUGUAGUGGGUUAUCAUAAUUAACCGUGCCUGCAUAGUUACUUUUUUUUGGAUAUCAUAAUAACUUGAUAAGAAAUCAACACCGGUCUACAAAUAUAGAUCAGAACUUAGGGGGGUUACAAGUUACAGAACCACCAAAGACAAGGAACAAUGAAUGAACAGAAAUAUUACAAUCAUCAGUAAAAAAAAGCACACGAAAAUUACAAACCAGGUUAAAUGCACUUCUAUGGACCUUUGAAGCUUUAGAGCACAUCUUUAGGGGGUUCAAUAUCAGUUGUUUCCUUGGAAGAUGCCAUUGCCAAGGCAUGCGAGCUUUUCAUUUCUUCCAACUGUCAAGCAGUACAGAACAUAGUGAAGCAACUAACUGAAGUCAAUGAAAUAUUUGAAUGACAGAUAUUGAAGGUCAAAAUUACCAAAUCACCAAUUAGAAUUUAGAAAGUUAACAUAUUUCAAAAAUACAUCUCAUGACAGGCAAGAGUUUGGAGAAUCAUUUCCAUUUGUUUCAGUGGUAUGUAUGGGAACAGACAGUGAUUAUCCUUCAACAUUUCUCCAAUCCUUUUGAAUGUUAACUUGAUCCGCAACAGAAAAUAUAUGCAAAUAUGCUUCUUGUAUUAAAAUUAUCAGGGAGAGUUAAUGUUUGGCUGAUGUCCUGUUUUCUUCUCUCUUUAGAUCAAUCUCCAACCUCCUUUUCUAUGCAGGUAAAGUUAGCUGUGAAGCUAAAUUUCAUGGUUCAUAUAUCUUUUUCAUUCCUGAUUUCCCCCAUAUCUUUGUACCCUGGGGAAGGGACUUCUAAAGGUUGUUGUCCUUUAGAGAAUGUUUCUCGCCCCCGAGGGAGACCUUUGAAAGGAGCUAGCUCGUCCUUGGAUUUGGCCCCAAGCUCGAGGGAGGGUGUUUUGGAUCCUUCAGAGAAUCAACUGGUGGUCUUUGAUUCUCAGAGGCUCAAGGGUCCUGCGGGUGUUAUGACGCGGGCGAGAGCGGCGUUGGCCUUAGGGGUUCGAUUAGGAUUGUCUUAUUCUUGCUCUGAUGAGGAGGCUCUUCAAGGUAUAGCAGCUAAUAUUAGCUCUCGUGGGUUUAGUUAGUGGUGAUUAGAGGGUGCUUGUUGGCUUGCCCGGGGCUCUUUUUGGUGUUUUUGUCUACCCUUGUUGGCUUAGGAUCUUUUGGGUUUUAUUGGUUAUUUUUUGGGGGAUGGGUAUAGUGAGCUUUGUUUAGCUUUUUGGUGUACAUCAUCUUUUGCUAUAUAUAUAAUUCUCCUUUUGCUUUCAAAAAAAAUCUUUGUUUUCUCCAUUACCUUCCGAUGUCCCCCUAAAUAUGGUGUAGUUCCCUAACCACACAAUACAUUGAUCCAUCACAACCAACAUUUCAAGUCCAUAUAGUUGUUGCUAAUCAAGGGAUCCCACUUUAAUCUCAGGCUCCAUACACAGUAAGCACAUCAAUUUCCCCCGCCAUCUUGAAUCCCAAUUAUCCUGGUUCUUACAACCGCAGCACAUUAUGAGCAGCCGUUUGCAGGUAUACAUUAGCUUAAAGUUGCAGCAGAUAUGCCACAUCCAUAAUCAUUUCAUCCUGGUAAAUAUGAUUUUUAUAAACUCCCAAAUGUUUGGAACUUACAAGAUGACAAACUUAUAUGAUGACAAACUUAUAUGUCGUAUCAGUUUGUAUCAUAGGCUGCAUUUCAACUACAAACAUAUCCUGAAUCAACUAUUCCAAACAAUUGUUUGCGAUAGUUAGUUCAUGACAUGGUAUCAGCUCUGCACCCCCAUUAUUCUAAUUAAAAAAGUUAAAUUUCAGCACAAAACAUGUGCAUUGUCCACACUUGAAGCCCAAACCAUCUAUGUGUCUUCACUCAACAGUUUAAGCUUUUAGAAUAGUUGGUUCACGACAAAAUACACAAACUGACUCAAGAGCAUUAUGCAAUACAUUGUUAAAGUAAAGAAAGGCUCUUAACAUGAAGCAAGCAAAACAACAGGAGAGUUCAAUGAAUAUAUUGCAGAUAAUGAUAGAAAAGGCACCUCUUUGCAAGUGGUGUGAUGUGCAGCAAGAAGCUCAUUAUAUCUAAUUUGCAGAUCAGAGAAUUCAGCUUGCAAUUUUUCAUACUCUGAGAUGGAAGGACAGCUCAAUUUCUGUUGAAUGAACCUGCCAAAAUAACAAAACAAAAAUAGAAUAAAAUAAUCUAAACUGAAUGAACCCUCAAUGAAAAUGAAGCUCAAUAUUGAAAAUACUCACUCAAGUGCAGAAGAAGGUUUGUCAUUUUGCUCAUAUAAAGCAACAAGAACUGCAAAAAGCAAAGACUUUGAAGUUCAAAUGAUUGAAAUUGAAUGAUUAAAUGAAGAUUUCAGCAAUAAAUGGAGAAAAUAAAAGAAAUUAACCUUUGGUGAGAGCAUCAACAGCUCCACUUGAUUCCAGAUAUUUUCUAAAAGCUUCCUUCUUUGCUUCUUUUUCCUGUUUCAAAAUCAGUGAAUGAAGUGUAAGAUUCAUGAAUGAACGGUGAACCAUCUGGGAUUAUAUACAUUUAUAGUAAUAAUGAGAGAGAUAGAAGAUAGAACCUCUUUGAAUCGCAUCAUUGUCUGUUGUUUCUUCUACUGCUCUUUGCUUUGCCUCGGAGAUCUGUACGGCGGCGGCGGCGGCGACCAGUCUCCACGGCGGUGCAAUGAUAAAUUUUCCGAUGAAAGUUGCAGAUGAAGCACCUUCCCUUUCUGUCUUCUAUCGUCAGAUACACAGUGAAGCAUUUGUCGCUUUUGAACCAACUACUAACCAGACCUGAGUUAAACACUUUUUAAAAGUUUUUUUUAUGAUAGUUGGUUUAAUAUUCCCCUCUCAAGAAGAAUGAAAAUUUAAAAAUUAUGUUGAAUCAAAUAUCAAUGUAGUUGUGAUUGUUUUAUGCAGCACAUUUGGAUUUUUUUAGUGUAUUUGUGAUUCAAUUGAUUCGUCAGUUCAGAAAUUUACAUUAUAAAGGAAUGGGUUAGAGGAGUGUUCUAUGGUAAGCUAUAGUGAAAUUGUUUAAUCUAUGGUAAGCAUGAUAAUGAUCCAAUCACCUAGACCAUCACCAACGGGAGAGAGGGAGAUUGUAGGCGCCACAUUCAUUGUGGUGAAGAAUGAUGAGCUGAACCGAUGAAAUGUUAUGAGCGAAAUGUUCACUUGAUAAAUUUUAAUAGCUAGUGUCAUAGAGAAAACUCAUCUCUCGCCAAGUUUUCACUCACAAAAUGAAUCAAUGUUAAGGAAAAUACAAAGAAAAUACUCUCUAGAUAGGUAAAGUCUCAAAAAGUGGUGGUCAAGUGGUGAUGGCCAAACGCCCAAACCCUAACUUGGUCCAAACCCUUUAAAGCAAGCCACACUCUAUCUAUUGAGUCAGAAACACGAGCCCUAGACUCCAAGUCAUAUGAGUCCCAAAUAUGCUUAAGGGCUUGUUUGUUUUGAUGCUUUUUUCAAUUUUGGUUUUUGAAUAGUGAGUGAGCAUGUUGUGGGCGACAAAUCGACAAUAUCAUGUGUUAUAAGUGGAUCAAACCACUAGUGUUGUCCUUAUAAAACAAUAUUAUCAUUGUAACAAUAUUAUCAUUGUUUGUUUUGUCAAUAUCAUGUACUCUCUCCGGUCUUAUUUAUAAGCAACAAAAAAAAUUCACAUAGUUUAAGAAAUGUAGUUAAACUAGAUAAAAUACAUUAAAUUUGUUUUAAAUCAAAAUAAACUUCCAAAAUUACCCUUUGUUAUUAGUGUUGGAAAGUGGGAAAGAGAGAAUAAUUAAUGAGACACAUUUUACAAGUUAGAAUUAAUAAGGACAGAAAAUUAAUUAAUAUAGUUCAAACUUUCAUUUGGUUCUUAUAAAAAGGACCAAAAUUUUUCUUCUGUUUCAUACUUAUAAAUAGGACCGGAUGAAGUAUUAUUAAAAUUUUAUAAAAUCAAUUUGAGUUGGGCCAACCAAACCAAACCCAAAUUUGAGGAUUGAGAAAUCAGAAUCCAUUUCAAUUCAAACACAGUCAAAACCAUAAACCCCUUUCUCCUUUUCUACUUCUUCUUCUUCCCUUUCUCUCUCUCUCACUCUCUCGUCUGAGCCACCAAAUUCCGAAAAUGUUGAAGCUUUUGCGCGUUCUUCCUUCCACUUCCAGGUAACACACCAUGUUUGCUUCCACUCUCAAAUGCUCUACAAUUGCUUACUGUUACAAACCUACAAUUUUUACUUUCUCUCGCUAAAUUUCUGCACGCAAAUUCCUUUUUGUGAAACAGGAAUUGGGUAUUGGAAAUGGAAGUGUUAUCAUCAUCUAGGAACCCUCAAGUUAGAGACUUUUCUACUGCUGCUAGAGAAACCUAUGUUGCUAAAGGCAUUUAUUCACUUUAAUUCCUUACAAAAAUAGUGAUAAUUUUGUUGAUUGUUUUGCUCAACUAUGAUUAUAUGAUGUGAACAACAACACUUGCAGGAUACACUACGGAUCGCGUAUUUGCUCCUUAUUAUGUUUACAAGGGCAAAGCUGCUAUGUCAUUGUCUCCUGUUCUUCCAACUUUUACUAAGUUGGAUGUAAGCUAAGCUCCCCCUUUUCCUUUUUUUGUAAAUACAACUCUUUUGCUUAAUGUUUUAGUGAUUUAUCAAUUCAAUUUGUCAUGCAUAAUAGUCUGGGGCUCUUGUGGUUGAGCGUCGCGGUUCCAUAAUGAUGGUUUUCACGCCUGCUAUCGGGGAGCGCAAAUAUGACUGGGAGAAGAGACAGGUAAUUUUCUUUUUAUGCUUUUCUCACAUUAUAUUUCUCUUUGAAUUCUGUUUAUACUUUCUUUCUGUGGCUUAAGCACACCUUUUGCAUGGUUAGGAAGUAUCUAGGUUGUGGCAUAUUUCCAAGCAUUUCUUAUUUUGAAGUAGAAAACGGCAUAUGAUCGAGCAUUUCUUUAACAGUUAUGGCAGUAGCACCUAUCACAUAAGCGCCUAUCUAUAAGCUUAUUUAAGAAGAUGCUUAUCGAAAUAAGCCCAACAUAACUUAUAAGUAGGUAGAAGAAGUGCUUAAUCAUAAGCUAAUAUGAAAAACUUAUGAAAAUAAAUAAGCUCUUUUAAGCUAUAGGUAGGUCACAAGUUCAACCAAACAAUUUGCUUAAGUGCUAAUGCUAUAAGAUAUGCGUAAAUAAGAUCUUUCAUACCCUAUCUCAAUAUAUUGUCUAUAAUGUUCUAUACUUCUAUCUAAUACUUGUAAGAGAAACAGACAGAGAAUCUUUUUGAUGUUCCAUUAUCUCUCUUAAUUGCCUUUUUGUAGAAAUUUGCUCUCUCAGCAACUGAAGUUGGUUCUUUGAUAGCCAUGGGUCCCCAAGAUUCUUGUGAAUUCUUCCAUGACCCCUCAAUGUCAUCAAGGUUGGUUUCAUGACUCUUUGGAUUAGUUUUUAUGGCCGAUUAUUUAUCUUAUGAAACAACACCGGUGGGAUUGAAUUGUAAAGACAAGCACUAUUAUUAACCUAUUAAUGAGAUGACUUAGUAAGCACCUUAUGCUGCAGUAAUGCUGGUCAAGUAAGGAAGAGUUUAUCAAUUAAGCCUCAUGCAAACAGUAGCGGUUACUUUGUGUCUUUGAGUAAGAUUUUGUGUUGUUAGUUUUUCUCCUUUUAUUUACUCCAUGUUUCAGUGUUCUCUUUAUUCUAUCUGAUUGUGCCACCUUCUUUGGCAGCUGUUGUCAAUAACCUGUUAAAUGCCAAAGAAAACUUCAACGUGCCUGUCACUACUGCUGAGUUUGCUGUGAUGAAGACGGCUUGCAGUGUAUGUCUUUUUCUGCUUAGCUUCUCAUAAAUAACUUUUAAUUUGGUCAAUUUCCUCUAUGUCUUUCACUAGUUAUGGGCUGCUUAGUUUCUUCUUUCAAAAUGUACGAAAUAAGAAUGAAGAAAUCUAAUAUCUUUUUGAAUCUCUGAUUCAAAAUUUCUGGAGCAUUAAGUUUAGCAGCUUUCUGAUCCAGAAUUCAGAAUUGCACAGUGCCUUGUAGAAUAUUUUUAUUAACAUUCUUGAACUGGUAUUGCACAUUUGAAUAUUUGAUGAUGUUGGCAGACCACUGUUUUGUUUUCAGGUGAUGAUUGAAACAUAGUUCAUUGAUUAUUAUGUUGUUUAAUGUGAAAAGAUUCUCAUACUUACAAGUUUCAAUGUUGAACUCGUGCAUAAUUUAUUGGAGAUAGGUAGAAUUCAAAAUUAACUUUGAAAACUGCACUCAUUAUAAGUCCAACAACAGUUAAAAUGAUUGAACUGUUGUUAGAGGGCAGGGGGGGGGGGGGGUGGAUGAGUCAAGAGAGACAGAUUCUUUUAUAUGAGAGUGGGAUGGACAAAUCUUGACCAUAUAACUAUAUAUGGGUAGUCGAAGUUACAAGUUAUUUAUUGGUCACAUGACCCUUAAAAAGUUAUGACUUCAUGUUGAAAAUUUAUGAUAAGAUCUGACGGUCAAGGUUUACUUGUCUCACUCUCAUAUAAAAGAGACUAAUCUCCAAGGGUAGGAUCGGGUUCCAUAACAGAGACCCCUCCCAACAAUGUUUUUCCAUACACACAAAUUCAAUGAUCAAACCCUAGACCACAUGCUUAAAGAGUCUCUUUCCCUUGGACUGGACCACCACAUGUGGCAGUAGCCCUCUCACUUGACAUGUUGUAAAAGAUAAAAUACCAAUAGUAAGAGGCUAGCUGAUAAUCAUCCUAUGAAUAUCGCAUGGAGUCAAGCAAAGAGAGGAUAACCAUUAUGCUGCCUAAUGCUUCAUAGUCCUUCUUUGGACAGUGGGUGAAACAUCCAGAUGUACAACAUAUAUAAAAGUUAAGAGAGGGCAAGUCAAUUCAUGUCUUGCUUAUAAGCUUCAUAUGUGGGGGCCCUGCAAAUGGCUGGAAAUAUUACUUUGAUUAAAGUAAUUGCUUUAUAAAAGGCUCAAACUGGUUCACCCCUGGUUUGGCACUGAUUUGGACUGUUAUCUUCUGGUUGCUUGCUUACCCAGUUUUGUGAGCUGCUGACCACCUGUCUAGUUGUCUGGUUUUACAAUCAAACUAGCCAGUCCAUUUUUUCCUUUUUGAUUCUAUGCUCAAAAUAGCUGUUAAGUUUUAAUGUGUGGGAAGCUUGAACCAUUCAUGUAAAGUUUCUUUAUUUGUUGGUUUAGAAUCCAGUUCCUAGCACUGCUGGUUUUUAUAAGUUGCUUUCGAUACAACCAUGCAUAGCCAAAUCUUCUGUUUUUGUUUUGCAUGCUUUUAGUAUAUUUUUGCUCCUUGUUAAGAGUUUUGGCAUUUGUCAAUUUGCUUUUUGAUGCAGUUUGCAUUGCCACACAUCAUGGGCUGGGACCGUUUAACUAAUCAGCAGUCCAGUCUGCCCGGAGGGACAGUUGGCCUUCAGUCGAAGGUGGACAAACCAGUUUUCGACUUGGAAUGGGAUAAGUGAAUUAACAUUAAGAAAUAUGAAAUGAAUCCUUGUUUAUGCUACAAUGCCAUUUUGUAUAUUAUCAAUUCAAAGGCUAGGACUGCUUGGGGGAAGUUAACGUGUAGUACUUAAAGAGAUAUAAGAAGGAUGAUGGAUUGAUCAGAUGUCAGCGUCAUUUCGCAAUUAGUCAUGUUAUUAGUAAUGUAUUAUGGCUGGUCUUCUGUUAGUUUUCUUUACUAUGAACUGUUGAACAUUGUCAGUCUUAUUCAUGGUAACAUAUGAAGAAUAUCAGUUUAUGUGCUGGUAAGUAAAUUCUAGGGUGCAGUUUAACGGUUGUUAGUAACUAUCAUGUCUUUCUACAUCAAUGAUACUUUCUGUUACUGUGAAAAAACAAUUUAUGGCAUGUGAAUUUGCUUCGGUUGCAACCAAAUGAACUUCUAUUUUGAAGGAAUUUGAAGUUGUUACCACUCAACUUUGUUUGGUUUAUAAGCGGAGAAAGGGAUGUAGGAGCUUUUGCAGGUAUUGAAUUUAUCGUCUUUCUGUAUGUUAUAGAGAUGUGUAAAAGAAAUUAUCUUCACGCAUUCACUACCUACUUUAACACAAUAAUAUAUCAGAAAUAUUAAGCAUGACAUUUCAAAUUUCAAAGUAAUACUUCUCCAUUUCCAGUCUUGUUUGUGCAUUCACACAAAUAGACAGAUUUCUUAGUUGCUUAUAGUACUACAACAAAUUUUCCUUCUUCCCAGAGGAAACAAACAAAAUAGUGGAAGUGGCAGAAACAAGAAUGGAAAUGGCCCAAUAAUAAUUCUAUAUUUACGUACAAUUAAGCAAAGAAUGCAACAAGACACUAAUUCGAAAUUAUACUAUAUAUAUAAACGCUGGAAUAUGACUAAAUCAUCAUCAUGGGCAUUGAGGAUUGUUGCCAGGACCACCAUAGUAGAAAUACGUGCCCCAUUUGUUGUUGCUGGAGCUUUUGAUGUUGUAACAGUUUGUGUUCUCAGCUAAGGUUAAGAUGUUGUUCACAGAGCUGAGACUAUUAUCUGUGUCUACGAUCUCAAGGUUCCGGAAGUAACUUGCUUUUCCAAAGCCAUCAUCGGCGAAGUGGCCUGAGCCCAUUUGGGUGGAGGUGUGUUGGCCGGUGACAUGCGUGUUCACUACCUCGCCACCCCACUCCACCAUGGUGGCGUGGGUGGCUAAGUGUGUGAACAACUCUGUCGGCCAAUACCCUACCAAUGCGCCGUCACCAAAACUCAUCCACCAAUUCCCUAUCUUGGGGUCCUAGAUAAUAAUAUAUGUUCAAUCACUUGAGGUAAGUUAAACAACUUCAAAUUAUAUAUAUUUAUGUAGUAAAUUGUACAUAUGAUGAAGAAAUGAAAUUGUUAACCUUCCAAAUGAGGAUGGUAAUGUCGAAUUGGCUGGCAUCAUAAGAAGAGAUAGGAGAAAUGGCAGCUCCAAUUGCUAUCCUGUUAUUUGUUUGCACAAAACCAGCACAGAGAAGGUUGUAGCAUCCUGUUGCUUGAUAUGAGUCACUCUGCAAUAUCACCCACAAUUAAACCAUUUCAUUCAAAUGAACCGAUCACUUGACGAGUUCCCAAUUUAACCGAUCAAGUGAUAAAAUUUAGAAAUAUGAAUGAAUGCUGACCGUCCAAUAAGUGAAUAAUCUGGGCUUGCUGUCACCAUAAAGCUCCGGACUGACCUGACUAGUAGAAUAAUCAAAGCUUCAGAGACUAUUUAAUUGAUCAUUUGACCAAAAAUUCAUAAAGUUACUAUAUAGUUUCUUUAUAACUCCACAUUGAAUGCAUUGUACGAAAUGUUGUAAUAAUACAAUCUCCUCAAUUCAUCAAUGUUGGGUUGCUUAAAGCAAUCGACCAAAAUAUAUUAAUUACAAAUUGCCAAUUGAAUAAGAAAAUGGAAGAAUAUAUGAAGUUAGGAAUAUAUUAUAUAUACCUGCCAUCCAGCUUCAAUGCUAUUGAGAUCAGAGCCAUCAAAGGAUCCAGAAAGAAUCCAAAUUUGUGAGAGGCUGAACUCGUUGACCACUUCGAUUGAUGGAUCCCACACGUUUAUUGUCGCCUUUGCCCCAUACACUUCUUCUGGUGAUCCUGUGUACGCAAUUGCAUGCUACACACAUACACAAAAUUAAGUUACCUUAUCUUAAUCAAUUAAAAAUACUACACAAAAUAGAUUAUUAUUACUACAAAUUGACUAUUGCAAUUGAUUGCUAUGUAAAAAAGAUAACAUAAAAAAAUGUCAAAGAAGAAGAGUGUAGCCAAGGGAGGUAGAUGGGGUGAUCUCAUAUAUUUAUGUUGUAAUUAAUAUAUUCGGAAGCCCCAGCACUCAAUAUUUAUUUACUACAGUACUUAGAAAAUAAAAAAAAUUGAAAAACGAAUCUUUGCAUCAUUAUUAAACGAGAAGAGUGUAAAUUGUUAGCGGGACCCGGAUCCUGGUCAAAAUCAUUACAUGAAUGGUAACAAUUGCACUGUCAGCUCUUAAAUUCAUGCAUGUUAGUUGCUGGACAUUGGAAAUAAAUGUAAAAAUUCAAGUAAAUAUUGAGUAAAAUCACCGUAUUACAAGGAGAAACUACAAUCUUGUUAUGUCUCCUUUCAGAUUUACAAUAUACUUAGUUAUAUUUAUCAGCUACUUGCAAGUGCAACUAAAAUUCACAAAAUGCAUGUUUGUGCAUUGAAAUACAUGCAUUAGUAAUUUAAGUGUACAUUCUUUUUUUUACCAAGAUAUCUCCACAAUCACCUUAGGGCUCUAAUCAUUAACUAAAUGUUUAAAGAACUCGACUAUCUACUAAUUGUACUGAGACUUGUGGUUUUAAGUGUGCAUUUUCUUGUGCUAUUAUAUUCAUUGGCUGUUUAGUUCAUGUCUACAUAAAUUAUAUUCACAUUAUAAUCCAUGACACAAAUAUUGAGGCAGAUUAAGGAUCAUAGAUCAUAGACCAUAGAUUUGAUUCUUAAACUAAAUUUGAUAUCUACAUAUUAAGAAUCAUCUAGUUGUUAGAUAAAUGUGAUAUGGACAGUGACACUCAUAAGCUAAUUGAGUAGAGACCAUAGAUGGAAAUGUUCCUUUUGAAAAAGCUUUAAGCAAAUUAAAGACAAUGAUGGUAGAGUUGAAAAGAGUGACUUCUAAAACAAUGAAAAUGAUGGUGGCGACUGAAAGGGACAGGAAUCCACGCACUCACCUCAUGGCCAUUGCCACUGACAACAUCGGGAGCGUCGAAGCGGCGGGAGAGAGGUGAUAACCGUCGCUGUUUCUUCCCAAACUUAUACAAAGACUUUGCUCUCAGCACAUCAUGCACUGUGCUCCGCCGCACCGGAACAGUUCCCUUAGGACAACGUGUCCCAUUUUGGUGCCAUGUUUGCCACGCGCCGCCACUCACACUAUCCUUCAUCCCAUUCACAUUAAUAUUCAUCCCCCUUGGCAUCUCCGUUGGCAUCUUCUGUUACAUUUAAUCAAACAAAACUAAUUUAAUCCUAAUCAAAUCAAACUAUAUAUAUAUAUAUAUAUAUAUAUAUAUAUAUAUAUAUCAAAUAAAGUGUGAAAAACUCUAUAAUCACUUCUCAUUAGAAGCUACGAGUCUCAUAAGUUUUUAAGUAAAUGUAUAUUGGAUUUUGCUCAAAUCGUGAAACCAAGCAUAGAAUCAGGUGUUUACCUGGAUCUUGUGAUUUUUUAGAAGGGGGUGAUCUAGAGCUGGUUGCUUUCUUUUGUCAACACAGUCUAUGAGAUCACCGUCUGGACUCUGAACAAAGGAAAAACAACAUUUUCAGGUAUAUAUAUUGUAGCAUUAAUAUACAUACAUAUUAUUUUGGCCGGGUUCGAAUAACUAUAAGGCCUAAUAUCAUCCUGGAUGGCCUCAGAGGUUUCACAACUGAGUGAAAACUGUGUUGGUCGGUUAGGAUGAUCAAAACAUUUAUGAAUAUAUUAUUACCUGUAUGGUGAGGACAGGGGUCUUGUUAAUCUUGUCCAAGUGCUUCUGAAUUCUCUGGAGUCUGAGGCUACUGACUUGCCUGUACCUUGUGAAGUUUAGGGUGGUGGAUUCAACUGCAACCGUUUGAAGGAGAGAGAACAAGAAACCCAAAAGAAGAAGGAGAAGAUGGUGGUGAUUAAGAGAAGAGGAGCAGGAAAACUUGGAUCUCUUCAUCCCAAGAGUGCCCAUUUCUCUUUUCAGCACCAAGAUAAGAAAAUAGGUAAAAGAAAAAACAAGAGCUAGAGAACCAUUACUAGCAAUGCAAACAGCAUGAAGUAAAUCUCAGUUUCAUGAAACAUUUCCAUUUACCAUACCUAAACACUAACACCACCUAAGUUAAAGGAAGUUGGAAAAGGACUUAGUGAGGCAAGUUAAAAUCUCUCUCUCUAAGUAUUAAUGGUGAGGAGAGGGUGGUGGUUGGGGUUAAUUAAGCUGGUAGCUGCUCAGAGACCCUGUUGGACCUUCAGCAUCAAAAUCAUGAUUGCUUCUUGCAUUUGAUUCAUGUAUAUUAAUGGUACAUACAUGAUGAUGAAGCUUUAAUUUUCAUUUCAAAUAUUUCAAGAAUGCACAAAAGUUGAAGCAAUGAAGGAGAUAAAAUUUAUGAGGUAAGGGAAGAGAGAAAUUAGUUGAAAGCAUAUUGAAAGCUUUCAAACCUACCCAACUAAAAACAAUCCCUCUUUAAUUGCAAUUCUUCAAUGUGCAUCUGCCACCAUACUCUUUGCCAUUAAUACUUACUUCCAUUUCACACUCUAUACCUUCUAUUCUCUUACUUUAUUGCUUCCUUUCCUUCACUACAGUAUAUAUCCCUUCUUUUGCUUGUUAGUAGUAUUUUUUUAUUGAAAGAAAAGGAUGCAUCAGAAAGUAAUUAAAAUGUGCACUCAAUUGGUGGGGAGGUGUGGUUACGCCAUGCUCAGCUUGCUGCUCUUGCUGCUCUUGAGUAUUUCAACAUUAUCACCCUCAUGUAUUUCUUACAGGGGUUGAUUAAAUAAUUUUUCCGAUAAGUGUGUUAAUUAAAAUACAAAACUUUUAAAACUUAAUCAACCACAAGGUAGUGUAGCGGUUAGCUUAUUUCGUCCAUUAACCAAUAAGUCAUGGAUUCGAUUCUCACCCAUGAAAAUGGAGCGCAUAUUAUAGUAUGUCAUUGAUCACUUAGUGCGAGCACCGGUGACAAAAAAUUAAUUAUUAAUAAGUGGUGGAUACCAUAGGCUCACAAAAAUAAAAAUAAAAAUAACUUAAUCACUUACUUUCUUAAUAUUUAUUAAUAUAACAACUUGUCUAUGAUAUUCCUUGUCAAUCCACGUGUCACUGUAAUGUAAUUGGAUAAUAGAAAAAUAAUAUGUAUAAAAAGAAUGUAUAAAAUUAAUCAAUAGAAAUUUAUAUGAAAUGAAUUAUAUAUUUUAAAGAUAUUGAUUACAUUUAUUUUUAUUUAAUACCUUAUUUAUAAAGUAAUGGAAAAUUUUGUAGAUAUCUUAGAAGAGCAAUGUUAUAUAGUACGAGAGGGCACGUACGAAGAAUGCACGAGAGUAAUUUUGUGGCGGUUUUAAACCGCCACAAAAUUACAACUGCCAAAAAAAAAGCAAACCUACUAUUUCUGGCGGUUUUGUUCAAAACCGCCACAAAAUUACAACUGUCAAAAUAAAAAGAAAAGCUACGGUUUCUGGCGGUUUCUAACCGCCAGAAAAUGCUUCGUGCGUGGUGCACGAGCCCCAAGGUCGUGCCGCACAGCAUUUUCCUAUCUUAGAAUAAGAAGUAUUGUAAGAUGAUGUGUGGAAGAAUAUCAUUGCUAGAAAAAAUGGUUAACUUUCCUCCUAGUCAGCGUAUUGGGAGACUUUUCUCCUAGUUGUCUGUGUUUUUUAGGAGAGAUAUUUAGAGAUGUGUUAUAUAAACGCACGACCAUCCAUAUGACAUGAAAAUUAUUGAAAGAGUAUUUAAAUUGGGUAAGCUUCUAAUCUCGAAUCUCGAUUUCUUCUGGAUUUAAACCAUUUUUUAGUAGUCAGAAUAUACUAAGGAUUUUUUUUACAGCACCUCUUUUUAAGGUGUUAAAUAGGCAAGGAUAUAUUUAGAUGACAAUCUAAUCCGUAUUCAAAGAAAUUUUUUGUAAUAAUGGUAAAGUCAUAAGUGUCAGCAAAAGAUUUAAUUAAGUUUUGGCUUAAUACAUCAGAAUGUCCCUAGAAUUGUAAAGAGAAUCAAAUCUAGGGCCUGGAAAAUUUUUGCAUCCAAUUGGGUCCCUUGGAAUUUUUUUUAAUUCAAUUAAGAACAAAGUGUGUCUGAUGCUGAAGUGGCUUCAAUUUUAGCCUACUCAGCUUUUCCACGUGGCAUUUCAAUUUUUUUUUUAAUUGAAAAAAUUCUAAAACUUAAUUUUUUAAAAUCCAACUCAUAUAUUAAAGCAUAAAUAAAAAAUAAAAACUUAAUAAAAACCUAAAUCUAAUUAAAAAAACCUAAUCUAAUAAAAUACCCUCUUCUCCUCAUAUAAAAAAACCUAACCUAACAAAAUCUAAUAUAAAAAACCUAAUCAAUCUGGAACCUUCCUCCUCCACUUUCUCCUAAUCAAAAUUCAGUUAAACCCAAAACCCCUUGUGUCCCUUUCCCCUACCUUGUAAUGCUACAGAGGAAAAAAAAACCCAGAUUGAAGCUUUGAGAGAGGAAGAAGAUUAUGGGAUAGAGGCUUUGAAACAGAGAAACGUAGCAGAGCUGUGGUGGUGGUGCGAUUUGUUGGGCACGGCGGCGCCGACGAUGACUUCACCACCUCCUUCCUUCCUUCUAAAUCGCCUCCACCGCGCUCCUCUGCUAGCCACCGCCACGCUCCACUCCUCCUUCUUGGUCGCGUCCUCUCUCUACUCCUCUCGUGCCGCCACGACUCUCCAUUCUCCCUCACGAGGUUCCGAUCUGCCACUGUUUCUCCUCUCACACGCCGGCAUGUCUGUCGCUGUUGUUCCUCCACUCGAAUCCGUUCCGGUUCGCUUCUUCCUUUCCCCUUUGAAUCUCUGUGUUUUGUUGCUGGUUUUGAUGUGAGACUUGUUGGAAAUCUGGAAAGAAUGAAGGUUUGGGGGGUUUUUUGAACCAACCUACAAAUGAGGGAGAGUGGAGGUGCGGGAUGUGUGAGAACGUGUAUACCAAUUUUUGAAUUAGAUAUUUCUUUGUUAAUGUUUGAAGAGGAGAUGAUGAUAAAGAGGAGAAUAUACUUUUGGGUUCUUAAAUUUCUGGAUUUGAAGAUGAAUGAGGAUGAAGAUGAAUGAAGAUGUUUUUUUGUUAUUAAUAGAUUAUUAGAUUAGGUUAUUAUUUAGAUUAGGUAAUUAUUUAGUUAAGGGAUUUUAUUUAAAUUAGAGAUUUAUUAAGUUUUUUAAUUUUUUUUCUGAUUAUUUAAUUGAGUUGGAAUUAAAAAUAAUUUUUUAUUAUUUUUUUAAUUAAAAAAUAAUAAUAAAAGCCACGUGGAAUUAAUGACCGGGAUAAAAUUGGGGGCUAGCACACUUUGGCCUUAAUUGAAUUAAAAAAAAAUUAUAGAGACCCAAUUUGAUGCAAAAAUUUUCUAGGCCCUGAAUUUGAUUCUCUUUACAUUUACAGGAGGUCUCCUGAUGUAUUAAGCCUUAAGUUUUUAUGUAAGUGACUAUUAAAAACCUAAACGUAAUUCUAACUUUUCCAAGGUUAAUAUUCACAUAUGGAUAAAUUUAUGGCUAUGGGUGUGUGAACAAUAGUUCUAAAGGAUCCGAUGUUCAUUAUCACACUUACACUACACAAAUUUUUAUUGUAUAAUUAGUAAACUUUUUAAAAAGUUUAUUUUAUGCAAAGGAUUAUAUUUGUAUUGUUUUUUACAAUUUAAGAUUUAAUAGAUCUUUGAACAUUUUGUGAAAUGAGUUAUAUGAUGUACGAUUAAUCAUAUCCUUAUUGUAUCAAUUUUUAGGAACCAUAGAAAAAGAAAGUUUGUUUUAAAUGUAUUCAUACAGAAAGACAGCCAUAAACAAUACUAUCUCUUAAUUAAUUCUGUAAAGGACUUCCAGUUUAGAAUAGAAAGACCAUAACUUUCACAUUCAUACAAAAGUUACAAACUACUCUUCAUACAACCAUAUUUUUAAUGCGACAAAUCCAUCGAGUGUCACUAAAUAAUGGGUAAGACCUCCCUGAUUUGAGAAUAAACACAAUAUAUAUUACCACCAAAAUUGAUAGAGCAAUAGAAACAAAGAAGUUACAGACCAUUCCCCUCAUCUGAUUUACAAUUAUAUUGAUACAUUAAAUACCCAGGCAGAAAAAAACUGGGUAAAAAGCCUCCAGUUGUGUAUACCUAUAUCAUUGACUGUAACAGUGCGACCAAAAAUUUGGUUAUGAAUGAGAAUUCCGUAUCCCCACCCUGGAAAAGAGAGGGAAGAACAAAAAACUUGAUGAAAGACGAACUGCUUAGCUAGUUGACAUAUCUUCAUCACUGUCUUCACUGGCAUCACUGCAACACAGUAAAUGCAACCAUGAGAAAAAUUUAUUAAUAAUACAAGCAUGGAAGGUUAAGCACGGAAUCAGUUCAAGCUACGAAAAAAACCGACUGGUGAUUAACAAUUCCUGAUAUUACUGCUAGAGCACUGUUAUUCUAUUAUUUCACUUAUUUCUUUUCUUAUAAUUUCUUCUAUAUCAUUUUAUAUAUAAAGUGCUUCUUUAAUUUUUUAUGCUAGUGCUCCUUUUUGAGCAUACAAGUACCUAUAUUCAGGAAGCUUUGAUAGUCGUCUAGCAUCCAAGCCAGUGAUAUACUUCUGUGCUGCUUGAACAUUUUCUGAACCUGGAAAAACCAAAUCCAUCGAAGUGUAAGAAGACAUUCAUUCCAAUUAUCAGUUGAUAAUUCUAAAAAAAUACGCAAGACAGAAAGAAAAACCUGUUAAAUGAUGGAUGGAUGUGGUGUUAAAAACGCAUACAUCAGAUGAAAUUAAAGAUUUUCUUAAGCAGUUAAGGCAGAAAAUUUGGUAGAUAGUAGGCUUUAGCAACUUGUGAGGUAUGUAAAUGGCAGUUUCAGUAUCGCAUGAAUAAUGCCAUAAGUUAUUCCAAGUUUGAUAAGUUUUAAGCAGAUUCAAGCAAAGAAUAAAUUAGGGCAGUCAAACUAAUGAAUUCCAGACAAGCAAAACUAUGAAAAAAUACCAAGCCACUCGAUAAAGUAGUAGAUAUGAAAACUUCAAAACUUAGAUAGGCAUUAUCACAAAAUCAUGAAAUAACCAACCAAUUGAUAAAAUUAAUCGUCAGAUGUUGCUAGGAGUGCCCAGAAGGGGAAAAAAUCAAAAUUUGUUUUAUUAGCUUUUGGUUUCGCUCGUUUUACUUAAAGAUUUCAAAACUAGACUCUGAACUUCAUUUGCUUGUCAACAAUAUAUAUGUUGACUGUUGAGAUAAUAACAAAAUGCAGAUGAACGUACCCUUUGUUAAUUGGAGUGCAUGUACAGCGCAUCGUUCUGCAGCAAGUCUUACAGGAGUACUUGCAUCUUUUAAACAUUCUGCUAUUGCAGGACCAACAAUUGUGCCAUGUAACAUGAUGGCUGAAGGAUUUGCCUGGAAUGUUUCAGUAACGAGAAACGUAAAAUUUAGGUAAUAUUAUUAUACAGGUGGUAUCAAGGUAAAGAGUAAAGACUGAUCAAGCACAUACUUUGGCAACAGCCUUUAUAGCAGAUAACGCUCUUCUUCUAACUUCACUUGAUUCAUCAUGUGUGGACGAAACUAGCAAUGAAAGAACAUCUUUGUAAAGCAGGGUGUCUGGAGGAUCCACCUGAGCUCUAUAAAGAAGGAGUCUUCCCAAUGCCUUAGUCGAUGUUUCACGGAGGGGGAACUGUUUAACAUAAAUUGAAUACAAUCAGUGAAGAGAGAAAAUAUAAAAUAAAAAAAAUAGUUUGGGAUUAACAUACCUUCUCAUCCUUCAAGGUAACUCUAAGACAAUCUACAAUAGUUGGGAACAAAGGCGACGAAAAAAUUGGAACAGGAUUGUGAUGGAACAAGGAAGAGAUAGUUAGAAUGGAGCCAUGCCUAGGAGACCAACUUGGUGAAUUAGCUAGACUUGACAGUUCCUGAAUCAACUCUGUCAGUUGAACAUCUUCAAGAUACUGCAAUUAUAGUUACAAGACAAUUAAACAAAAUAAGACAUAAUCAGACAAUGAAGCAGAAUUAAGCAGAUAUGAUAAAUCCAUGAAAUGGAGGCAAUUGCAAUAUGUUAAAGUAACAAGGUCAUUCAAAUACCGAAAGAUUUUGGCGGAAAACUAAAGCAACAUAUUAGCCUGUGAAAGAAGUUUCCCUCAACAGUUUACAAACCUGUGUCAAGAUACCCAAAAUUCUUGCAGCAUACAUUCGAACUCUCUCAUCAUCAUGAUGAAUUAAAUCCUUGAGAACGCUGUAAGCACGAUCUCUAACAGCAGAACUCACAUUCUUCCCAGCAUGCUUCAUGACCCCUUUCAAAGCUGUCAAAAUAGCUUCACGGACGCCACCAUCCGAUCCCUGUAUAAUCAAGUUCCAAUCGUUUUGUAUUGAAUAAGUAAAAUCUAGCAAUAUUACAAGUUUAAGAUUACAGUAUUGAAUCAACUUAGGUCUGAAAAAUAGAAUUAAUAUUACCUGCAGAGUGGACAGCAAAUCACUAACCAAAGGGUCAACCCUAGUACUGAGGCCACUAAGCUUUCCAAGGGCCAGGGCAGCACUCGAACGAAUAGUUCUGCAAUCACAAUAUGUAUAAUAAGAAAGAAUAAUAAAACAUAGAAGCGAUAGUUACAACCAUCAAUGACAGAAUAGCCAAUUCAUAUGAAGUUAAGCAAAAUAAACAGAGAUAAUUGAGUUAAUAGCAGCAAAGACUUCUCAAUUUGGUUCUUGUGUAAAGUUUGAAUUACAAUAUUGUCAACAACACGUCUUCAUUUUGUUUUUAGUUUUCAAAGUUUUGUACAUUUUAUUGUUUCCUAUACAAAACUUUGAAAGCAGAAAAUAAAAUGAAAACAAGGUGGUGAUUUUGUAAUCAAAACUAAAAACAGAAAAUGGAAAUGGAAACCAAACAAGUCUUUGAUAUAAACUACGUUAGCAAUUGACUUAAAUCUGCCUUUUUCUAUCCCUGAAUUUUGGUAUCAUAUGCAAGUCACCUGACAACUACAUUAAUAGUUCACUCCAGAGAUCGUGAUUUUUGCCAAUGUGUGAAAUGAAUCAAAUCAUUAGGUCUAAUCUACGUAAGUUAAAUUUCAUACAUUGCAUCAUUCAUGGAAGUGAGAAACAAUUGGUGACAGAUGAAGGAGAAAAGAAUUGUCUCAUACUAACCUUGUACUAUCCUGUAGACACUUAACAAAUGUCGUUUGCAGCUGAGGAAGAAAUGGUUUUAAAGAAAUCCCACCCUUUCUUAUCAUGAUGGUUAGAGUAGACAAAAUUGCACUCUUAACCUGCCAUGGGAAGCGAUCACCUAUUAUGCGGAUAAGAGGCCUGUGAAAAACAUGAUUGCAGUGUCAGAACAUAUUAAAGAUAAAAUGUUACAAAAACAGUAAAUGAUAACAUCUACAGUCCCAUUUGGGACAACUGUGAAGUAUGGACAAUCUAAUGCCCACUUCACCUUAAGUCUUGAGGUUCUGAGAAAAUUAUCUUUAGUUAUAACUUAUAAGAAUGGAAGACGAGAUCAAGCUCUUCUUCAAUAGAGUCGCUCAAAUACCGUGUCAAGAAUCUAAAGAACCUAACAACUUAAGUUGGCAAGCAACGGAGCAUAAAUGAUUUUACAUCUACCGCUAUGAAACAAUGGAGCGCAUGCAGAUUACCUGACUAGACAGACACUAUGUAAGUUUUUCAAAUAAUAUUAUUAUAAAAUGAUAUUAUUUGAAACUUGCUCAGAUAAAAUAUAAAGAUUUAAAAGUAAAACUACAUCAGCAGUUUUUUUAUUUAGAUACCCGGUAAUUGGGAUGACAAACUCCUUGAGUGAUUGUUCACUUGUCACCUCUAUCAGUUCACCAAGUCCCAAUGCUGCCUGCUCCCUCAAUUCAGCAGACCCACUUAUGAGACCCUGGGAGCAUAAAAUUUAACUCUGAGUGAGUUUUGGGUGUAAACCUUCCAACCAUAAGCAUAUCACAUAAAGAUUUAAGCAGUAAACAACAUUGCUACAAAUCUUCCAAGAGUAACUUUCAACUGUGCAGCAAACUAAACAAUAAAUAUAUUCUGAUUAUUAUUAUUAUCCAACAAUUGAGCACAGAUGGCAGCAAAGGCAAGCGAAAAUAAUAUAUGAAACUUGAUGACAGCCAUGAAAAAGUUGCCCAUAUAAAGGUCAAAAGAGUUCCGCAUGUCUGAAAGUGAGGCCAAUGAAAUUCUAUAGGAAAACUGACGGAUCAUAGGAAAACUGUAAUAGUUAUAUCAAGACAGUAACAGUACUAGGUGGUGUCUUUAGAUAUCCACGAAGAAUAUAAAAUGGUAAGCAUGCAACUAGACUACAAACAUGCAAGGCAAACACGAAAAGCAGAAAUUUCAAAGUAAUGAAAAGUGAAUACUUGGAGAAAAAUUGGCAAUAUAGGCUGAAGUGCUUUAGGAAGACAAAAUCCAGGUAUGAGUAUUGGUCCUCCCUGCAAAGCAAUUACACAAAACACAGGAACAGUCACAAUCUUGAAUUAAACAUUAGCAACUUAAAAGAGAAUAUUUGAAAGUCAGUUAAGAAUAACUUUCAAAGUUACAGCCCCACCUUCCUCUUCCUCCGUUCCUUGUCUCGAGAUGUUGAUAUAGCAUCACGGACUAGUUUUAUGUACGAAGGGAGUACCUCCUUGGGUACUGAAAUAAUGACUCUUGACAAAGCCUCCCAAGCAACCUAAUGUAAAGCAAAUUUAAAUAAUAUACUAAUAGAGGAUCUAAGUAUUAUAUCCAAUAGUCGAAUAGCUUACACUAACGGUAGAUGUAUCAGGAUCACUCAGCAAGAUGAUUAGGGUAGAUAUCAUGUUUGGAGCUUCAUCAACCAGAUAUAACUUGCUAUUUUUUAAGAAAUAUCCAAUUAGAUAUGAACUUGAUCUUCUGACAGUAGCCUGUAGACAUAAGUUGUCAAAAAGAAACCAUAUAUAAAGUGGAGUAGGCCAAGUACUGGAGGGCACAGAAUUCCAGCAGUUAUCACAAGACAAGUACCUGGCUAUCACUAACACCUUUGACAAGCUCUGAUAUGAGUGGCUCAAUACCUUCCUCAUCAAUAACUGAGACAACUGUUUCAGCAGCCUCCUUAGCCGAUGUUUGAACCUCCUACAAUUUCAACAAUCAACAGAAAAGGAAUUAAAAUGUCUUCUGUAUAAUGUAAAUAAAAAUCUCAUAAAAUACUCAAAUAAAAUAUGAUUUCCGAAAAGAAAAAAAUCCCAAUGAUGUGUCUUGUCUACCUUGUCAUCACUACCCAUUGCUGAUAGUAAAGGAGGAAGCACAGUACCAAGAUGAAAGUCAAGACCAGGCCCAGCAACAUCUGCUAAAGCCCCCAGAGCAUGUGCAUGGAAGGCACUGGACAGUUAUCGAGAAAAUUUAUAGUAAAGAUACAACUGAUAUAUCAUCUAAAAAAAAAUCAUCAAAACAGAGACACAUACGAUAAUGGAGGGUGAACCAGUUUGGGAAAAAUGUGAGGCAAUACAGCACUUGUUCUGACACUACAAAAGAAAAUGUGAAAGUUUAGUCAAUGACAAGAAAUUGGCAUAAAAAAUAACUUCAGUAUUCAUGAUCACUAUGACAGUGAUGGUGCCGAACGUGCUACCUCAGAAUUUGUUUAAGGCCAUCCAGUGCAGUAUCAGAAGUUCUAUCAUCCUCCAAUGCAUGUAAAAGAGUCGGAACAAUCUCAUCAAUAGCUUGCAAUCCAGCACUCUACGUUGCGAUUUUGGGGGAUAAGGUUAGUAGUGCAUGAAGUGUUAAUUUCAGAGACCAAUAACAAAAAACUUAAUAGAAAAGCACGAGAAGAUGGCAUAGAGUGCAACCUUAUACAGAGUACUAAACGCUAAGCCUGCUGAUUCACGAACCUCAGGUACACUGUAAACAUAUCCAUCCAUCUAUAUAUCAGAUAUUGCUUUCUUAAAAAUCCCAUAAACAGAGAAAUCUGAAUUAAAAUGCACCUAUCACAGAGGGCAGUCCGAAUAGUGAGGAUGAGGUCAUUCAUGAAAGUCAACAACUGACUCUUACCAGCACUAGCCAUAACUUCACUCAGACCACUACAUACACCCUAAUCACGCAAUGAAAAUUAUAAUUGUAUCAAAUAACAAAAGCUGUCAAAAUUAGAAGAUUAGGAUUAACAAAAUUCCAACACCAAUAACUACUCUAACCUGUCUUUUGCUGCUGUCAGGGUCAUUCAGCCCCCGGGAUAAGAUUGGGAUUAUCAAGGGAAGCACCCGCUCACCAAGCUUCCUGACAAGCUCACCCAAUGAUCGUCCGGCAACCUACAUAAAAUCAGCAAUAAGGAAAUAUAAUGUCUGCAAGCUAUGAGCUACGACAGAAAAUAGGUUGAUACAAAUAUAGGUGCAAACCUGCCGCCUCUCAGAUGAUGAUGAUGCAAGAGAUGCAAUUAAAGUAUCCAUCAGAACUGGCAUAAUUUCCCUUAGAGUCUUUGGAGUAUUUGCCACAAUAGUUUUCCACACAUGUAAUGCAGCCUGAGAAAAGAUGCACUCAGUUUUCACUAUUGUUGUUCAUGUUACCCUAAUAAUAACGAACCAUAUUAAGAUAAAAGAGAAGAGAAAAUGUUUUAGCCAUUACCUGACGUACUGACAAACUAACAUCUGUUCGAACCAUAUAUAAUGCAGCAAGUACUUCAUUACGCUUGCUGUACCCCAGAACCUCAAUGAUGGCACGCCCAUGGGCCUCAGUACUAGAACCUUCAUCAUCACUGCCACCCUCAAGUAAUGCUUUACCAGAAGUUCCAGCAACCUGAAAGGAGUAAAUUAGCUUACAAACCAAAUCAGGUUCUGUGGAAGAGUUGUUGCAGGAUGAGCAAAACAUACUUUGAAUAAUAGGUCACCCAACAGCUCAACUGAGCUUUGUCGAAUACGCCAAUUGUCAUUAAAAAUGCCAUCCUCAACAACUGGAAGGAGAAGUGGUAGAGACCUAAAAGAAGUUUGAAAAAACAUAAAAUUCAUUAAUAGCAGGAUUCUAACCUGUGGCAUAAGUCAUAAAUAAAAUCCAAUUAAAAGUAAUAGCUAUAACAUUAGCAGUUAGAUAGCUCACAACCAUUACACUUCCCAUAUACAUAUCUUGCGAAAUUAAAAACCAGUAAAUAGCAAUGACCAUGUUAUGCAUAAAAAACAGGGAUAGAACAUACGUUGCAGCAUAAUGCUCGACCAGAACAUGACCAGCCCCUAGUGCAGCAUCACGUACAGAUUCAUUCUCAUCCGCAAGACCUAAAAGACAUUAAAAAAAGGCCAAAUUUAGAGAUAACAAGCCGGGAGCAGCAAUAAAAGCAUAGAAAAUAACCAAAACAAAAUAAGGUAUCAUACCAUCCAGGAUUGCAGGUAGCACCUGAGAAAGAUAGUUUUGGAACUGGACUCCUAAUGACCGUGGCAAAAACUACAAUAGUAUUUUAGAAAACAUAUUAAAAUAACUUUGUAAAAACAAUCUUCUAAAAUUUUAAUGGAGAAAAAAAAACUCUCUUUUCACUGCUUUACCUUAAAGAGCGUCAAGUAUCCAUCUCGCACAGAAGCUUUUUGAUGGGAACAAUUCCGAAUAAUAUCGGGAAGUACAUGCUCAAAGAACCCAAUGCCGAGUGCAGCUAAGACCUGAAGUACAUUCAGGCAACGAAGGAGUAAGUGGAAAAUGGAUUAAAAGAAACAAGGUGAAAUUAUAUCCUUAAAGAAUAGGGGUCUCACAGGAUUCCUGUAAGUCCAGUUCUAAUAUAAAUAUCUAGUUCGCUUAACUACCCACAAUUUCUCUUUACAAAUCAAAAGCGCAUAUAAAGCCUAUUUUUUUAAGAUUUUAAACCAAGUGAUUUAAAGUAGUGGGAAAAGGUAAUUUAUUAUUAACAGAGUUUAUGUCAAGCGCAUAUAAAGCUGUCAGAAUUGGUUCAUGAUCUAAGACAAGUGUUCUACAUAAUUUUUCAAGGGUUUUAAAAAAUUUAAAAAGAGAAAAAGAAACUGACCUCACUCAGGCCUUGAGCUGCACCAGAGCGCUCAACAUUACUAUUAUCAGACUUCAGUGUGUCAAACAACCACGGGACAAGAUCAGGGAAGUUUUCUUCUCCCAUUCCUCCAAUAAGGGAUCCAAUGGCUCUAGCAGCAACUGAUCGAACUUCAGGGAUAGGAUCAACAAGAACCUGCUCUCAUGAAUCAUGAUAUAUACAUAUGUGAAAUGAGAAAGGACCAAGCCAAACCAACUAACGUAAAAGCUAUCAUAAAGAAGUACCUUUUUUACUUCAGGAAGCAACAACCCUAUAUAUGGAAUCAUGUCUGUAGCCUCUGUAACCAAGGAACACAUGUUACCAACUAUUUGUGAUGCCCUCUUCUUAGUGUCAGCACUUCGUUCCCUCAGUCCUCUAUGUACUAUUGGUACCAACAAUGCAAGUGACGGAGCAUCUAUUGAAUUAACAAAGGUUGUCUGCAACCAACCAAUAGAAUUAAGGCAACAAAAUAGAACACUAAACAAAAUCAACAACAUACAUGCUAUAAAACUUACUUGGAGAAGAAUAUCAAGGGAAUAUUUUGUAUACUCAUUAGGAUCACUGAGUCCUUUGAGUAGAGUAGGAACAAGAGCAGAUAUUUCUGGGUUCUUUAUCACACUUCCAACCUAGAAAAAAAUAUAAAAAUAUAAAUAUAAUGAAACAAUAAUCACAGCUAAAGCCAAUAGCUAGACAGUAUAUAAGCGAAGACAAACCUGUUGAAGGGCCAUUUGCCCUGCUGACUGGACUUUAGGAUGUGUAUCAGUUAAAACCUUCGAACAGAGAGGUGGGUUAAGGUAACAUAACCAAUAGAGUAUAAGACACUCAGUUAAAUUCACAAUGUGCUGUUUGCUUCAUCUUAUACCUCAGUCAAUUUGGGAACAAUUUUAGGGAGGCAUUGAGACAACUGUUGAGGAGCACAGUAAGCCAUAGCACCAAGUAGUUGUACACUACUUUGUUUAGUCCUCCAAGCUUUAUCUUCGAGACCCUGAGCAAAUAGGUAAGCUAAGCAUUAGUUCAUUAGCAUAUAAGCAAAGUAAAUGUCAAAUCACUAUAUAGGACCAGACAAAUUGGUUCCAAGAACCAAUUUAAAUCUCAAUAGCAACAACGUCAUAUGUGAAAUGACCUCAUGACAUAAAAAAAAAGUAACAGAAGAAUACACAAAUUAAUAGGAUUGUCCCAAUGUCAUGCCUAUUAAAAAUGUAACUAAUCUUAAUAGAAGAGCCUAGCCCUGUAGCCCAAAAAAAGGGACAACUCAGCAGUCUAACAUUAUACUCUUAAAAGGAAGGGAAAAGCAGAUGUGUGCUACUUUGUAGCAAUUUGCUGCAUUACAUCCAGAACUGCAAUGGCAGCCCAUGGCGGAAGCCAAAAAUCCAUUGUUCCACCAAACAUUGCCAUAGCAUGACAUCCAUGUGAAAAAAAGAGUAAGAAUAUUAGUGUUAAUCCUGUUUGUGUUGCAGUCCCAACUCCCAACAGUAAAAGUCAUCUAAGUAUCUUGUAUUCAUUUCGUUUUUCUUUUUUGCAUCUUGCAAUAGAAUACCAACCAUGGAAAUUUAAUCAGAAGAAAUAUGAAAGAGGGAGCUGUGUAUAAAAGUUGAGGCAUAAAGAGGCUUCCAUAGUUCCAUCAAAUUCGAAACUUAGGUUGUUAGGUAUAGGCUAUUUGUAUGUUUGUUCUCAGGAAGAAUCUAUGGCCACUCCUAUUUGUCUAUCACCACUCCUAUUAAAGUAUAAAAUCCUCGUUUUCCUAAAAUGUACUUUAUUAAAUUGAUAUUUGAAAAAUUAAAUUAGUUGUCUAUUCUCACCCCCAUAGCUGGAAAUUCCUCAAAGGUCAUAAAUAUAUUUCCCUCUCUUUAGCCCUUAUACAUCUUCCUUCUAUCCUUUCCUUCUAAGUGGAAAAGUCAUGUGUUAAAAGAGGCAUUAUUCCCAACUUGGCAACUUACUAGGUUUUGAUAUUUAUGAGCUAAAUGAGUAGGUGCCUCAUUAUAUUCACAAAAAGAUCAAAAGUGACUAUGGGAGGAAGCCUUGGAGCUGAAAUGUACCUUGAUGGACACAUGCACACUACAAGUUCAUAUUAGCAUGUAUAUCUGCUUUAGUUAUCUUUGUUCCAUGAUCUAGUUACUUCUAAUUUGCUUCUGAAAGCUUUUUACUUCAUAUUACAAUACAUUUUCAAUUCUGUUUACAAAAGAUGGUCAUAUUUCCCAUUUAUUGCCUGACUUUUGUCUGUCAUGAGAAACGGAACCAUCAGACAUGUCACAUCAUCACACAACAUGUGUUGAGAGCUAACAUACAGGCUGCAUAAAACUUGCUCGAAGAAAACAUGCAAAACAACUCAGGAAUUUUAUUGUGCAUAUAUGUAAAACUAGGUUCCCCUACCAAACUGUAUUGGAAUAAGAGAAAUGCUGGCAACACACUCUUUUAAACAUGCUCUCUAAAAACUCAAUGUGAUUAGUUUAUUUUUUGAAAAGUAACAAAAUUCUCUCACUUAUUAAAAAAUGUGUUGAAUUUUCAAAAAAAUAAACCAAUCACAUUGAGUGUGUUGGAGUGUGUCUUUAAAGAGUGUGUUGCUAGCACUCCUCUUCGAAAAAAUGUUAAUUUACUCUUACAAUAAAGUAAGAAAAAUGUAGCACAGAGAAGGUGGCAACAGACACUCCCUUGUUCUAGUUUUACAUAGUUACUCCCUAGGAUCUUGCUUACCAAUAAAAACCUAAUGGUACAAAAUAUGCAACUGCCUACAGCAUAGUCAGGUUGAAAUUUUUAGAGUUAGAUAUGUCGCCCAAAAUGAACAGUCCAACAGUUAUACAAAUGGUCAUAAAAGUGGCACCAUAAUCCGCAAUAAGAACGUGAAUAUUGCACUCUAUUAAUUCUAACAAAUAUAAGAUUUAAAUAAAAUUUAUCUAUCACAAAGCAAAGCAAAAUGUUUCGAUCAUCCAGCAUUCUUAUUAAUAUAUUAAUAAUAAUCAAAAGGGGGGAAUUUAACUAUUUCAGGUAGAUCAUAUCAGCCAUUUACUUUAUUCUUUAUUUAUAAAAGAUGACGACAGGAGAAAAAUACAAAAGUACUACAUUAACAAUUUAUACAUUAGUUAACUAAUAUAUCUAAUUUAUAUUUUGACAACCCAAAACCAAUUUAGACUAUUAUUGCAGAUUUUAAUAGAACACAACAAAGCAUUAUUUAUCUGCAGACAAAAUGGUUGUCGAUCAUAAUGAUACCCAAUGUCUAUCACCUUCAAAAGAGAUGGAAGAACAAGCUUCACUCCUUGAGCACUAAGUUGAGACAUCAUUGCUCGAGCAGCACAUUCAGCUGCUUCCCGAACUGCAACAACUUGAUCAGAGAACGAAACCAACAGUAACGGUAACAUCUUGAUCACAUACCUGAAUACAAUCAUAAUGAAAAGAAUAUAAACCACAAAAUAAAUAAUCUGCAUAAACAAUAAAAAACGUAUAGGACAAUAAAACUCAUCAACAUACGGUUCAAAUAGUCUUCCAAGAAUUUCACAAAGGCACUCAAAUCCAAGUAAAGCUCCUUCACGUGAUUUUGCAGAGUUCCUGCAGUAUGAAAAUAAAUUAUACAUAACUACUUUCAGUUUUCUCAUAUCAAGGGUAAGAGUGUAAUUUAAAAAUGACAUAUACUGAAUUUUUUCUUGAUAUGUCAUACACCGCAGGGAAUUUAGAACAUAUACAGUGAUCUAAGAAUACAGAAAAAUAAUCAAACUCUAACCUAUCGACAAGCCCCUCUUGAAGUAUAAUCACAAUCCGAUACUUCUUCAAGCAAGAAAUACCAAAUCCCUUAACCACUCCAGCAAGUCCAAAGGCAGCACCACGGCGCUCUCCAUAUUUUUCACUCUUCAACAACUGAUCCAACAGCCGAGUAACAAGAGCUGCUGCAUCAUCCUAAUGGCAGUAGUUAUCAAACAACGAAAGAAAACUUUUCAGUAAACAUCUAGAAAAAAUUAAAACAAAACCUACUAACUCUAAGAGCAUAGUACAUAAUAAUAAAGAAGGUAUGCACUGAUGAGCUAGAAAAACAGAGCACCCUUUCAAUUCUCAACAGGAUGAAUUAUUCCAUACAAGCACAUGAAAAUUACAAGAAUUUACCAACUUGUUUUAGCACAACUUUAAGCAAAAUAUUUCUGUAUUAACAUGUAAAAGUAUCAUAGAACCAAACAGUAAUAACUAUUUACAUUGGCCUAUUGUUAGUGUCCCUAUAUCAUACUAUAUAUCCAAUCUUAAAAAGAGGGACAUGAAUAACUACGCAAACAAAGAUUUUGUAUAUUUCCAUUUUUAUGCAAUGCUGAUAAAGCAGCACUCUUCUGUCAAAAUCAUCCAAUAAUCUUCCAUAGGAACAAAGUAAAAGCAUCAGAUAACAAGUAUAAAAAUACUCUUUCAUACUUGUUUUGAUUGCAUUAAUGGAGAUAGACAAGCGGAGACUGCCCGUUGAACAGCUUCUGAAGGAGUGUUAAUUACAUCCAAUAAUUUGUCCACAACAGCAUGAACCUUAGGAUCAUCCUGAUAAAAAAUAAAUCUAAACAAUAUUAAAAAUUAUACACUUAACUACCUAAAAAACUAGAAAACAAGGAAUAAAACUUCAAUAUUAACCUUUGCCAAGUGUUUUGCCAGAGCUCCAGUGAAGAUAACCACACCUUCACGAACCAAGUCAUAUUUUUCUUCAUCAGGUGCCUAAAUUUGGGGAGUAUCAAUUAACAAAAGACAACCAAUAACUCUCAUAAAUGUAUUAAGUGCCUGACUACAAAGUAAAGAGAAAGAAAAAUAAAAUAAAAUCAUAGGAAGAGUAUUCAGCAGAUGCCUCUCCAAAUAUAAAAGUCAAUAACUCACCGUUUUGUUUAAGUAGUUCUCAAAUAUGGGGAAUAACAACGAGACAUUAUCUUUUCCACUUUUGUCAAUGAUUAAGAUACCAGCAUUAAUCAUUCUGCCUCUAACAUCAGCAUUUGGAUCAGCCUGCAAAUCAAAUCCAUACCCAUAGUCAAAUGUUAUUUGCCUCUUCCUGGCAAAUAAAUAAUUUUUAAAGGAAAUUUACACUACAGAACAUGGUAACAGUUAACUGCCAGCAUUGCUACAAUCACACAACCAUCAACAAGCAUACCCUUGAAAAUCAGUGCCUCAACAUUUUGGCAUAGUUUUAAAUUUAGACCAAGUCUUUUAUUGCAUUACUAGAUAGACUUCUAUAAUUGAGAAUAACAAUAUUAAGAAAGUUAUUAAUUUAUUUAAAUUCAUUUACAGAACUAUGAAUAUUUUGGUGCACUUCAUGAGCUUGUGUUAUGUUUGGGCUUGGGUUUGUGGUACUUACGUGUUUAUUGGGUAUGGACUCAACGUCCAAGUUCCCCUUGUUUGGUUUAGUGCUUUUUGUGGGGCCAGGGAAUAUAUUGCACUCUCCUCAAAUGUUUCAUGCUGAAGCCUAGUUUUAUUUAUGUGAAUUCUACAGUUUUCAUUAAUUUUAUCAAUAGUCAGCAUCGAAUUUUUUUCAUGAGUCAUCCAAGAUUCAACCUUCAAAACUAUCAAAAUUUACGUUGAUUCUUCCUUCAACUAAUGUCCUAAAACUCAACAAACCCCAGAUACUAAUCCAGAAGGUACUUUUCAAGGAACCCAAACAGCCAGAAAUCUUACAUCAAGUUGAUCCUAUUGUGAGUAAAUCGGAACACCCUAACAUGCACUCAGAGAACCUUAAAUCCGCCUGUUAUCUAUCAUAUAUUCAAGCAAGAAAAUCAAAUUGGCAUCCGAUAUUGAUGAAUGAAUUUUUUAAAGCAGAAACUGAGCUCACUGAUAAUUUAUUAAUAUUCAUUUAACAUAAUAUCAAAUAUCCACAUUGUACAUAAAAUGAAGGAAGACAACCAUGAGUCAAAUCAAAUAUUUGGAUAUAAAUCUUAGUUAACUAACUAAAAUAGUUUCAUCUUUUAGUCAUACAAAUGCCAGCAAAAGUUACCAGUGCUCUUGAUAUUAGAAACGUCAUGACAAUGGGUAGGUCUUUCGUUCUCAGCACAUCAGCAGCAGAAUGUAAUGCUAAUGCUAUUCCUUGCCUACCCAGCCAACCAGCAUCAAGAUUGUCAUCUCCAAUUCCCAUGUCACGAAUAUACAACGAAAAUAAAGUGGAAAGGCACUCCUGAAAAUAUUAGUAAAUUAUGAGAUAAAACAUUCAACAACAGAAUGUAAAUUAUAAAGCAAGCAUACAUGUAUAGAAUCUGGAUAUUCAUCCAAUGCAGCGGCUAAUGCUUCAGCAGCUGCCAGGCGAACAUUGUAGUUGACAUGGGAAAGUGCUUUGAAAAUUCCCGAAAAGUCUGUUCCGAAGUCAAACCCAUAAUGAUCCCAUAUGUCUUCUGCUACUUGAGCAAUUGACUGAAAUGUUAAAAUUAGUAAACAGGCUGUCAUAAUAUAGUUAGACUUAAAGAAGGUAAAUGAAAAUUAUAUAGAAAUAGAAUUCAGUACAAAAUUUCCAACCACAAUUAGUAAGAGCUACUGUAGAGAUACAAAGUAAAUGAAAAUACCUCAGUCAUGAAUGAAAAGAAAUAAUAACCAAGACGGUGACUUUAGAGAAAGAGGAACAUUGUUUAAUGCUUUAUAAAUGUGGACCAGGGAUAAUUAUCCGAACAUUAUGAUUUGGUGAAGAAUAAAGAAGCCUUCUUAAUGUGUCAAUACAGAGUUACAUUUUUGUAAGUCUUAAAUCUGCAACUAGAUAUUUUAGCAACUACAUAAUUGUAUGUCAAUGUAUUUGAUAAAGUAAAAUCAGAAAUGUCCAGUCUCAUAAUUAGACAUCUAAGUACUAUCUUUGUUUCAAAAUAUCAAUAGCAUAAAGCUUUUGCAUAAACUUCAAGUCAGGCAUUACAUACCUCAGGCUCAGGAAACAAAAACAGUAAUACCUUAAAAUUUAGGAGACAUAGUGAUAGAACUCAACCAAGAACUGUUUCUAUUUCUGUAAAAGAACCCUAUUUCCCAAUUUGGGAAUCAGAGAAGAUACACAAGAGAGAUGCCAAACACCCUCCCUAACCCUAGAAAGAGACCCAAUGCUCUCUCUGAAUCCCAAAUCCCAAAUCCCAAAUGAAUACCAAGAUACCCCUAGUCUCUCUAACUCACUUAUUUAUAGACUCACUCUCUAAUUAACUCCCACCCUCUCAUCUAUCUGUUGACCCUAAUUAGCCACUAACUGUGAGUACCUAUCACAUAGAUACAUCUUACUGAUUCAGAAUUAACCUCUCACUUCACCAAUGCUCUCUCAUUCCACUAGAUGGUCAUACCAAGAGACAGGGAUGAACUUACAAAAUUAAGGCCCCGUUUGGAAACACAGCUUAAGCGCUUAUACAUAGGCUAUUUUAAUUUUUUUUAAAAUAAAUUGAAAAUAAGCUAUAUAUAAGCAUAAGCUCUUUUUCAUAAGCUAUUAAGCUAUCCUGAAUAGCUUAUGAAAAUAAGCUCAAAACAGCUUAUGGCAGGCCAUAAGCUGUUUGCAUAAGCUCUCCCAAACACUGGCAUAAGAGCUUAUGCUAUCAGAUAAGCUCAAAUAAGCUCUUCCAAACAGGGCCUAAAUCAAUGCCAUCUUGAUUUUCUGAAGUGGCAGAUUAAGUGAAAAAACCAAAUUUCUAUUCCAGAAAAAAUGAUGUUCCAAAGUGGAUAUUUAAGCCAUUUACGGGUCCAGGCAGUACUAGACAGUAGACACAUUGGACCCACAAAUAUUGACUCUGUAUUUUCAACAGAAUUGAGAAUUCAUAUUCAGAUUACAGUUAAGUUCAGCACUUCAGCAUAUACCUUACGAUGUUCUUUUUAACUUAGAAUUACAGAUUAAAUUCCAAUCCAAGGAUGCAGACUUUAAUGAUUAAAUUCCCAUCCAAGCAUGCAGCUCCUCCCACCCAAACCACCCUCUUGCAACAUACACCACCUGUUGUCCUAUACUAAUACUCCAAUUUCCUAUACCAUCCAAUACAAAAUUCGAGCAACGAUCAUAUCACAACUUUAAGAAAACGCAGUUUAUUCCCGGUGGAUAAGGCAAACAGAGCAACCUUGUACGUUGAUCCUUAUAAAUUUCCAUGGAUAAAAGGGGCAAACCUUCUCAGGAUCAUGUAGUGCAAUCCAUAGACUUGUCGCAACCUCAAUGUUCUGGGGUAGAGAGCGAUUAGCAACAGCAGGAAUACAUCUGACAGCAUUUAAGCAUGCCAUUCUGACAUGAACAUCUUUCGAAUACACUCCAUAAAGUGCCUGUAAAAUGAGAAAAUGAGAGAUAAUACGCAUUGUUACACUUACACAGAGACUAGCUGAGACAGUAAAAACAAACACAUGCAAAUAGAGUGAAGCAUACAUACAGAAGCAACUUCAUCAGGUUGCAAACCAAGGCUCAACUCAUUUAGUGCAGGUCCUAUUGAUGAUUGAUAAGCUGGAACAACACCAAGUACAUGGUAAAGAGCCUACAGCAAAUAAUAAGAAUCAGAAACGCAAUGUGUGAAACAAAAAAUAAGACUGACAAACAAACCAUGAAACGUUGGGAAAAUACCGAUAACAUUCGUAUCCUAGGAAGAGGUAGAUGGGGAUCCAGGUGUAAAUAAAAUAACCGAAGCACGUCAUCAUGAAAUUUUGUUUUCUUUGAGCUCAAAAGAAUUCGCUCCAUUAUCUAUUGAGAAGCAGUAUUAGUAACAGAGAAACCUUGCUAAAUUGAUUAAAGUGCAUUUCAAAGUAGAAUUGCUUGCAGCCUUACAGGAAAUACAAAAGAAAAAGAAUCUACAGGAAGUGCCCCUGAUUUACAAGAAGUGGAUAAGCCAUCUAAAAUUCGCUCAAAAAGGCCAAGGGAAGGCCUUCCAUUGACUUCCUCUUCAGCGGCAGAUGGAACCAAAUCCAACAGAAGAUGAACUUCAUCAGUCACAAUUAGACGUAAAGCAGUGGAAAUGUCAAGGGCCCAUUCACAUAGAGGCGGUGCGAUACAUCUUGAUAAUUUCACCAUAGUUUCAAAGGCCUCAUCACUUACAAUAGGUGAUCGCAAUAAAGGUUCCACAAAUUUGACCUGACAAAUAUUAAAGCUCAGAAUCACAACAACUUAUUAUGAUGCCACGUUUAUAUAGGGGUGGGGGGAGUAAUUAUGCAAAAAAGUUAUACAUUGCCAAUAACUUUGAAAGUAUAUCCUUAAAUAAUGAGCUUGAAAUUUAACAAAAAAACAAGGGGUCAGCUUCAAGACUCAGAAUGAAGGUAGUUAAUUCAAGUGGCAACAAAUCUAUACAGUAGCAAAUCAGCAAAGCUUAGUAGCCGCAUUCCAAUACCAUUGAGGGCAGUUUACUAUGUGCAAAAACUGAAUUAGCGAUUGCCAUGUCUCCAAGAGUUCUUAGCAUCAAAGACAGAUUUUUCUGUAUUUCGCAGACUUUAUCACGUACAGAAGCCUCCUCCUUAAGUAGCAAUUCUCUUGCCUCUUCCUUUGCUGUCUUGCUUUUAUCUAAAUGAAUCAGAAUAAUAAACCCAUUUCAGCAUGUUUUAAAAGCCAGCAAUCAGAGCUGGGCUUUGUUGCAUUCAAAAACUAAAACUACAAACGAAGACCAGUAUAAGGGAAACACUUGCCUGCCUUCUUUGUAGCCUUCCCAGAAUCCCUUUUCCCUGCACCAGCAGUUUCUCUAAUAGGUUGAUCUCUCUUCAUUGAAUGGUUAGAACGGGCAUGAUCCUGAACAAGAAAUAAAGAGUAAAACUAACCAACACUAACAGGGCAACAGCAAACAAAAUAGUGAAAAUUAAGAUGUACCAAGUCAUCUUCAUCAUCAUACAUCCGGAAGCGACCCUUUGCUUGUUUUGUGUUCUUAGCAGCAACAGAUUCAGCAACAUAAACUCCUUGCUCAGAUGAAAGCAUUCCUUCAGGCGUAUUAAAGAUCUGAAACCGCGUGACAAAAAAAAUGCAAAUCGAUAUCACAUAUGCACAUGGCCAUCGUAAGAGUAAUAGAGUAUAUGUCUCACAUGUUAUAAACAGAAUCCAAUAGGUAGUUUUGUAGUUAGUCUUUUACAACUGCUUAGAGACUGCAACAACAAACAUAAAACUGUACUGGGAUUCAGUUUCUCAGCUUAUUGGAGUUAAUACCUAGGGAUAUUAUUGUAAUAGCCACAAUGGGUUAAUACCUAGGGUAUUAUUGUAAUAGACUCAACAGAAGAUAUCUCUAUAUCCACUAUAUAAGUGUAAGUAGCAGUUACUCAUUGUUAGAUACUUAGAUCUCUCUCUCUCUCUCUCUCUCUCUCUCUCUCUCUGUUUUUCAACACAGCUGAUUGUGCAAAUAUGAGAACUCAAUCCUGAGCUCAUAUCAGAAAAGAAUAACACAGAUCACAGAAACUCUCCUUGUUUCUCCUUAUAUAUUUUACUUCAUUUUCUUUAUUUUCCGCCACUUGCUCUUCCAACACAGAGACAACACCCAAAGACUAAAUAAAAUUGAAAGUACCUAUCACAAAGUAUGGAAAACACCACCAUACUGACAAUAUCAAUAGAAAAUAAAAUUGCAUCAUGAAUUACCUGAAUGUCAUUCUCUGAAAGCAUAUCAUGAGAAAACCGCUCAGGAAGAUUUCGCAAAUGCUGGCAACAGUGAAGUAUGGUAGGGUAGUCAGCAACCAGGAUUCACAUUGAAAGAAAUCAAUCACUAGAUUCAAAGUUUACAGGUUCCAACUGAACAACAUAGGUAAACUAAACAUAUUGAAAUAACAAGUCUACCUCUUCAAACUCUGUAUAUAUAUCUCCAGGGAUUAUCAACAUCAAAGUGGAUAGUGACGAUAUUGCUGCCUGUUGUUCUAGUGGAUUAGCACUCUUCAAACCCAAUGGUCCCAGUAAGACCUGCAAAACAAUAAAUCAUUUGGCAGUUAGCAAAACAAAUUUAACAUUUUCAAGGAGACCUGAACUCAGCAGUUUAUACAUGAAAUAUUUUAUAAUCAAUUAACACAAAAGUAGAGGACAUAAAUAUGAAUUAAUGCAAAUAAAGAUUAAAGAGAUGGCAGAACAAAAUGAACUCCCCAACCUAUUAUAAUUUAUUUAAAACAUGUAAUUAGUAAAUAAAGUAUAUAUCAAAUUCUAUGAUGCAACCAAUGUCCAUCACAACACAAACUACAUGUGGCAAUUUUUAGGCCAUGGAAUUGAGUCUGAGUCUGUCCAGAAUAUUUGUUCCGAUUAUAUUCAAUUCAGGGGUCCAAAAAUGGAAACAUGAGCAGCAGCACUGCUACAAGUUAACAGCCAAAUGUAGAGUUUACACUAUAGGUUUAGCCCAUAUAAGUAAAGAAGGUUGCAAAUAAAUUUUAGAUAUUUAAUGAUUCAUCCCUUCAUGAAAUUUGAAUCUAUCAUCAAUAACUAUACCUUAAUAAACGAAUGCACAAGAGAUUAGUAGUAUAUCAAUUACCUGAACAAGAUUGACAACAUUCGCAGAAACGAUGUCAAUGACAUCAAAACCAUGCGUUUGCAGACACUUAGAGAGCCUCUGGAAAAAAGAAUGAAAUAGGUCAACUAAGCAAACAAAACAACUUUACAAGGCCAUCAUGCACGGCAACUAAAGAUUCCCACAACAAAAAUAGACAAAUAGAUCAAUACAUAUAUCAUAUGUAAAAGUAUCCAUAUUAAACAGAAAACAGAUCCCUUCAUAGUAGGAGGUAAUCAUCCAUAUACGUAUUUCACACUUACGGCAACUCAUUCCUUGUAAAUUAGGCUAGAAUUGGAUCAUAUGCAAAAAGUGGCUUUUUGCCUAUUCACAUGAACAGCUAGUUUAUACGGGCAUAAAAAUUAAUCAAUAAAAUGAAAAUGAAAUCCAAAGCGAAAAGAAUAUCAUGUAACAUAACAAGAGAACACAUGUAAUAAUAACUACCUUCCACACUGCAUCUCUUUUUGCACUUCCAAGUACACAGGGGUGGUGUGAGCAAAGUAUUAUUCUGACAAAUGAAUCUGGAGCAAGCUUCAUAGCUUCUGGUGAAAUAAUCAGCAGAGCCUUUACCAAAACCUCCACAGAUGGAAUAAACGGUAUUUGAGGGUCCAGCGAAAUAUCACUGUCACUGCAUAUUCAAAUAUAAGAGUUUGAAAGCAAAAUUGCAAAGGCUCACAAGAGUAAUAGUAUGAUUAGAAUGAACGACAAUGUUAUAGGACAACAUUUGUGACCCUUGAUAAUCAUUAAUAAGAGUACAGUGAAGAACUACAAUAGAUUAAAAAAACUGGAUUCUCAAAAGAGAUAGUUGGCUUCUCGUGGAAUAAGAUUAGCAAGAGAGGCACAAGAAUCUUUUACUAGUUGCGAAACAAGUGUUUGCUAUUUUUGGAGAAAGACAAUGCUCCAAUCUGUAGAAAUCUAAAGAGAGUGAAAAGUGUAAAUACUGAAAUGAAUUCACUAACUGAAACAGAGGUGACUACAAAGCUUAUAUAGGACUAACUAACUCACAGCUAGUUACACCCAUAGCUAACAGAAUAUGCCAGCUUCACACCUAGAGUGUGACACCUGGUGAGUUACAAUAUAUCCACUAACACUUAACUACUCUCUCUUACGCAAUCAACUUAGACAAUUGUUUUCAAGAAGCAGAACUGAUGAUAUUAGCCAAUCUUUUAAAACAGCAUUUAGAAUUCGAAUGAUCACAAACACUUUUGAAUAGUAGCAAAAUCUUAAUGGGGGACUUCAAAAUAUAAAACUUACUACCACAACGUGUGACCUUCCUGAGGUAAGCACAUCUGUGUCAACUUGACCAAUGCAAAAUUUAAUUGAUAAAUAUGGAGAUUCGUCUACAAUGAGCUAUUUACCUCAAUCUUAAAGCUAAUAUUUUAUCCCCGACCAAAGAGAGGUACUUUGAAAAUUCAAGAAAAAGAUCUCCAGAUAACUGUGGAGACGAAGUAAUAAUCUUCCUAGCAACAUCAUAAGCCUUUCUUCGAAUAUCCCACCUCAGAUGGCAUAUAAAAAAAAUCAUUAACUGCAUAAAGUUGAAAACAGAGUCAAUAUAACAUGCCAACAUAGGAAUCUGAUAUAAAUUAAUACAGAAUGUUUUAUUCCAUUACCUGUAACAGCAAUUUGACAGAGAAGUUGGAUAAUAUGCUGCAGAACAAUGAAGAUAAAUUCAAAUUGUUAGAAACAGAAUAUAAAUUAUUCAUGUAUCUUUACCGAAUGGCUUAAGAUAUUGGGAUAGUUUAUUCAUGACAUGAUAUCAAAACCUUUAUGACUACGUUUUUGUUAAGAUGUUAGUUGAGUACAAAGUGAAUAGACUUCCAUCCCAGUCUAGAAGAGUUUGGUUCCCUUUUUGUCUAGUAGCCCAUUCUAAAAGUCAGUUUGCAUUGGUAUCACUGAAUAUCCAAACAUAGUGUAAGUGGUCUGGAGUUCUAUCCUUGUUGCCCCUAUUAUUCUAAUAAAGGGCAAACCCAGUGCUAUAAAGCUCCUGCUAUCUGCAAGGUCCAUGGAGGGCCUGGAUCCACUUUAUGGAUCUAAUGUAGGCAAUCUUACCUUGGAUUUAUGCAAGAAGCUGAGUCCGCAGCUCGAACAUGUGACCACAAAAUUACAUGGCAGUAACCUUAUUGUUGCGCCAAGGCUCGCCCUCUAUUAUUCUAAUAAAAAGUUAAAUUUCAACACAAGGUAGGAGGGCCUGUACAUUGUCAACACGCAAGAGCCAAAUGGGCAUCUAGUGACAAAACUUGCACCAUGGCUACCCAAGAAAUUAAGGCCAAUGAGCUCUUGGUGAAGGAGCUUGGUAUAAAUAUAAUAUAAAAUCAGUCAAGUGCCUUCAUCCAAUAGCUUACACAAAAGGGGUAGUUGGUUCAUAACAAUAAUCAAGCAUACAACUCAGAACACAUAAAUUAUGAUGUAAUAUUUUUUACAAUGUAGAUGAAAUUUACCGCUGUGAAUGUUCCAGAAGAAGCACUUCAAGAAGAUCAACGCAUGCCAUGCUAUCCUCAACCGAUAGCUUCGAUGCCUGCAGAGCACUUUUUCAGAUAUGUAGAGUAAACCCGGUAAUGCUAAUAACAAAUGUUGGAAGAGUAAUCACCAUGGAAAUUGGCACGAGCGAAGGUUCAUUUUGUGAUACCAAAGUCCAUAUCUUUUCCCUUACCAAUAUCUCCUCUACAGAAAUAAAAAAUAAAAAAGAGAACAAAUUAAAACUUUUUGCGAAGAGAUCAAGCAAUACUAAACUAGUGCUCCUAAGUACAUAAAAUUCCAUUAAUACAAACCAGCUUUAAUAUCAACAGCAGCUAUCUUCCCAACUAAUAACAAUGCAUAUAUGCCAUCUAAACGUUGCACUGCUUUGGUAAAGCCUGUUUUUACAAGUUGGACAAGAGGGCCAAGCAAUGUUGACAUCUGAAAACAAAAUUAAAAAUUGGUGAAAUGUAAGGGACUGAAGGUCACAUACUAUACUUGCAGUCAUGAAUUCAAUCGACAACCAAGUAUAAUCAUUUAACAGGACAGAUCACCUUUAAGACAGCAUCUGUAUUUUUGCAUAUAGCAUGUAGACUACGCAGAAAACCCCUUCUUAAAGUUUCCUUCUCUUUGAGGCCAGAAGCUAAAAAGGAAACUAAACCCUCAUGGAUGAUAUCUGUAGAUCUAACUGCCCAAGAAGCUAUAGCUGACAAAAUCACAAUUUUAACCUCCUCAUUUCCUGCCAAAUAAAAAUGGAGCGUAAAUCACCACUAAAUAUGAUCCUUAUAUUAGAGAUAUUUUUCAACCAAAUAAGCCUUUUUAAAUUAAAAAAUUGUAUCUAAAUUUUUUUAAGACAAUUAAGAUUUUUCUAAAAAGAAAAAAACACUUACACUGCUGCUUCGCUCAAAAGUUAAAAUGCAAUUUUUAAAAAACUACAUCAUAAAAUGCAUUUUUUCAAAUGCAUCCUAAAUACCAAUAACAAAUGAAUGACUGAUGAUGGUCACCCUACCUCAUUUGAACAUUGAUUUACACUAAGAAAAAUAAGACAUACCGACCAGCACUCCCUUAGGGUCAAGUUUUCAGUUUCGAAAGUGGCAUUCAAAACCAUUACAAACAACAUGCUGCAUGUUCACAGAACUUAGACAACUCAUUCUCCUAAGUCUGUCAUGUGCAGAACUAAUUAGAAAUAGCAUUUAGUUUUGCAUAUUAAUGUGAGGCUACUUUCUAAUCUAAUAAUUUGCGUGAGAAACUUGUUUCUCACCUACCUUGAGUUUGAGGGAGGAUAUUAGAGUAUAUGUAUCAACAUGGCCUUGCUGACAUGGCAAGCCAUAACAGAAUCAGUUAGUGGCCUUGCUGACAUGGCAAGCUAUAACAGAAUCAGUUAGAGUAGUUAGUUAGCUAAGCUUUUCCUUAUGAUAGCUUGCUGCGCAAGCUUCUUCUCUCUCUAUAUAUAGCUUGGAUCUCUUUCUGUAAUAUCAACCUUUUCAUAAUUCAAUAUUACAAUUCUGUUAUACAGUUAGAGUUUUCUAUUAGCCUCCUGAUGAACACUGAACGUGUCUUUUCCCCUUAAAGAAGCUUCCUAUGAUACAUUUUAAAGGUUUCUUAUGCUAAGAUUUUGUGGCAAGGUGUGGCUUUUGCAGAUUUUUUAGUGUAUAAGCAAUGCUCAUAUUUUCAAAGGAGUCCCAUACUGCCCUCAGAUUUGUUAUGGCAUAGGAUUAUAAUUUGGGUUUUGGUUUUUCCUCGGUGAUGAUAAACCAAGAGUUGCUUUAAUGGGAACUCCAUCACUGAAAUGCAAAGAGAUCAAGAGACCACACAUCUUAGGAUGAUUUUUAGCCUCUAGGCCAUUUUUUUAUUUCUGCUUCUCUGUUUAGGACGAUAUCUUAUCUCCCCAUAUGUACUUUUUUCUCUUUUCUCUCUAUUAAUAGUUGACUCUCAUAAAAAAGACAAAAAAGUGGAAGACAAAUUGAGAUAAGAGAACAUUAAUAGAAACAAAUGCACAAUUAAAAGGAAUUUUAGAGAUUGUAUUUACCAUCAUCCUUGUAAUACGAUAAAAGAAAAUCACAUAUUGUGUUAGACAGACUGCUGAUGUAUUUCCCAUCUGGUGCAUUGGACAAUUCUUGAAUCGCAUUAACCAUCCCAACUCUCUGGUAUGGAAAAGCAAGCCUUCCUUCUGACCCUACUCAGAACGAAACACAAAUGCCAUUGGCAUACAGUCAAAAUAUACUACAAAUAAGCCCCUACCACCAUCAAUCAAAAAUCAAGAUAAACGGUAUAUCCAAAUGGGCUCAUGGAUAUUAUAACAAAUUAACUACAUCAGCAGUGGAUUAUUUCUUACCUUUAAUAACAGCCUUGAUAGCAUUGAACAUUGUGUCUAAAGCAUCUGGAUUGCUAGAUUUUUUGCUCAGACUCCCGACUAUAGCUAAUGCCCCGUCUCUUCUCCCUUCAUCAGCAUGCCGAGCCUGUACUAAUACUACUGAAAGAAUUUCAGCAGCAUACUUACUCAGAUCAAGGUCAACAGACUUCAAAAGAAUUCCAACAGACUCCAGCACAAUCUCUGGGUUGCGUUUUAGCAUCUUAAUAGAUGAUGGCAUCACAAUAUUCUGCAAAUCUUCAUGUGCCAUUUGCAAAUAAAGUGGAAGAAACGCCUCGAUAAGACUCUUUCCUGGCUUUUCCUUCGCAUUCAAUAUUGCAUUAACAUAUAUAUCAAGAAAUGCUGGCUGUAAGAAGCAAAAAAGUAAUUACAUUAGAACCCUAGAAGAUCGAAAUCAGCCCAACUUAAACACGAACCAGGACAAAACUCAUGCACACUAACUAACCUUAAAUUCUCUGAAUAAAGACGGUGAUCCGCUUGAGAACUCCAGCAACAACAACAAUAAUUCCGGACUGUCCUUGUACGGGAUUUGCCCAUUUUUCAAUCCUAGCACGUACACUUUACAAAUAUCGGGCGACUGAAAACAAGCAAAGGCAUCGAAAUUACAAGCAUUAUUUCAUUUUCUAAGCAUUGUAACUAACAAAAACGAUGACCAAUCGAUAAAAUUCAAGGACCAACACAGUGAGUGAUUGCUAAACCUGAUCAAACAAACGAAAGAACUUCUUCUUGCAAGCCUGUUUCUCAUGAAACGAUCUCUGCAAAACCAAUUUAAGCAAAGAAGCUUGAGCAGAAGCUACUCUACACAAAGCAUUCUUGGAAACCUCGGCGAACUGGCUCUUACUAAGAAGCAAACACGACCAGCAUAGCAGCCUGUAACUUCCCACAUGAGAUUGAAACUUGACUUGCUUCUCCAUGUUCUGAACAAGUGCACCUGCAAAAGUCUUCAUGAAAACAGCUCCGCCACCAGUUAGGGCUUUGAUGAUCACAUCAUCAACCGCUUUCCUGGAUCUGCGAUCAUCGUAAAUCGGAACUGUUCGGAAAAUGGUGUCAGUGAGCAACGAAGCGAGCUCCGGUGAGUCGUCUGGAGGGGAGGAAUUGAGGAGGGCGGGGAUUUCGCGGUGGAAUAUGCGGAGGCGUUGGGUGGUGGAGGAAGUGGUGACUAAUUCGGAGAGGGAGUGGAGUGACUCCAUCGCCGACAUUGGGAGGAGAUCCGAAGUGGAAUCAGAAUGAGAAUGAGAAUGAGAUUGUUGUUGUUGUGAUCAUGGAUGAAUGAAUGAAUGCAGUGAUGACGAAUGGUGUGGUGUGCUGCACUAUCCAAAUGCACAGUGUGGUGUGGUUGAGUAGUGCAGUACUGCAGUGUGUAACAAAUCCUUACUAGGGUUUUGCGUUCUGCUAUAUCCUGUCCCUCUCUCUGUUGUGUUCGAUUUUCCAAAAAUGAAACACAGACUAUUUUUAUUUUUCUCUACUAUAAAAAAACUCGAUUACAAUGAUUAAAAUGAUUUUUUUUUAAAUUAAAAUGAUGUUUUUUUUUUUUCUAUUAAUGGCCAUAAGGCAAAGAGUUCAUUACAUCUGCAUCAACCAAAGAAACUACGGCUAAUGGAACCUCAUAAUGGAACUCAAAUAAUAGCGUCCAUCCUCAUGAGAUCUCCAAGUAUUAAACAACGGCAAGCAAUCUGUUUCUAGAAUAACCCGACGAAAACCCAAGUCAGCAGCUAGUUGCAAUGUCCACUCUCAAUCUCAAAGCUUCACCUAGAAGAGGAGAGCUUAUGGAAACUGGGAAUGAACAUGUUGAAGUCAUCACCUCGCCAACACAGUUGCGUGCAACCAUGCCCAAACCUGCAAUUCCACCAUCACGAAAUGAAGCAUCGAAGUUACAUUUGAUGAUACCUCGAGCUGGUCGAUGCCAUGUCGCUUGGAGCUGAACUUGUCUCGUGCGCUGGCCCUCUACUGCCUAAAAUGAUGUUAAUAAUAUUGUAAUAAUUGUUGUUGUUAUUCAUAAUUUAAUUAUACAUAAUAGUUUUUCACAUUUCAUUGUGUUUUUUUUUGUUUCUUUUUUGUUGACACAGGUAUCCUCCUUCUGAGACAAUCAUGUUCGAGUCGGAAACAUCCACAUCAUGGUGUGGUUGACUCUCUCAGCAGAGGUUUUUCUCCAUAACAAGACCCGAACUCGAAUAUCACUUAAGAUUGUGGUAGUUAUGUCAAAAUAUAUUAUGAUCAGCCGUUUACUGCUUAGUGUUAACAUCUUAUGGUGAAAAAUGAUUAGUCAUUGUUGUAGACGGUAAAUACGUUGGCCUCAACAAAAAAAAAAAAAAACUUGUCAAAUUGAUAUCACCUAAGGACUAAGGUUCUGGUAGCUAUGUCAACCUAUAUUACAGUCAGCCGUUUAUCGCUUGGUGUUAACAUCUUAUGUUGAAAAUGGCUAGUCAUUGUUGUAGACGGUAGAUAUGUUAGGCUAAACAUAAAUUUUGUCUAGUUAAGAUCACUUAAGGGGUUGGUAAGUGGUAACUAUGCCAACUCAUUUCAACCAAGCAUUCUUUGAUGGCCAAUGCGAUUGAGCCUCCUUCAUUUUGAAGGAGGUACAAGUUGUUGUAUUUGUUAUUUUAAGGCUACAUAUCGGAGCUCGAUUGUGAUGUCAAUCAAUUUUGAAAAAGGAAGGAAGAGUCAGGCUUAUAGGUGGAGUGAGUGGUAUUAGAGAUGUAAGUAGAGAACUAAGGCAAAAUAAAAUUCAUACGCAAAUGAUAUAAAACUCUUACAUAGCAAAGAAGAAAACUCCACCUAUAUAAUAGAAAACUCUUGCCAAAAGAGAAGAUAACUCUCUAAAAAGAGUAUAAAAGUCCAAACGAGAAUGACCCCCAUUCCACCCCACCCUCUUGUGGGAGCGAGGGGAGUUUGAUGUCCGGUUGAAGAAAAUGUUCUCUUAGAGGUUUUUAUGAGUUUUGAUUUUGAAGAAAUUGUAUUCCGUAAAUAUUAUUGAUGAGCAAACACUUUAUUUAUACAAUUACAUAGUUGACUAAUAAUAAAAGCUAAACAAAUAUAAAUUUGAUUACAUGUUUAAUUACAUUUGAUAAAUAAAUAAAGAAUAUUCUAAUAUAAUAUUCUAUUAUAUUAUAACAAAUUUGUUCGCACUCGCAUUAUCUUUCGUCUUAUUUCUACUAAUUUUCUCUCCAUUUAUCACUUUUUUUUUCAUUAUGUCACUCAUUUAUCAUAGGUGAAUGUGUAAUUAUAGUGUGUAAGGAAUUUUGUUAGGAGGCUAAAUUUUUGUUGUCAACGUGUUAACUUCUAGUGCUAAAGGUGAAAGUCCAUUAAAGUGAAUGAGACAGCCCAUUGCGUAGAAAAACUCGGAGACCCAAACAAAUAUGGGCUAGCGUCCUUGAUACUUGUAAAAAAAAAACACGAAAAAACACAUUUUUUUAAAUCAAACUAAUAAUAUUAAAUUAAAUCGAAUCCGACAUAGAAGUCAAUACAUCAAUGCUCAAGAAACUAGAUAACCUCGAAGACCCCUCCUCAACCCAUACAACAUUUGGGAAAGAAGAGGCAUUCCUAGCAAGAUAAUCAGAACACAUGUUUCCCUCAUAUCUUAAUUCACAGUACACGAUUAUUUUUUCCUUGAUUCGGCUUUUAUGAUACAUAUUUCGUCCCUUAUGAUGAUAAACUCUUUUUUUUUAACGUAAGGAUAAACUCUUUAAGUGUGAUUAUUAUAAAGGGGCGAUAGGCGGGAUAAAAUCUGAAUUCCGUAAAUUUAAUAUAAAUUUUGGAAUAUUUUGUUAAAAGCAAAAAAUAUUUCAUAGAGAAUUAAAAUUCAUUUAAUAUAAUCUAAGUACAUAAGUAUUUUAAUUUGUAUAUUAAUAUUUGAUAUCAUAUACUAAAAUUAAAAUCACAUAAAAUGUUGCUAACCAUAAUGAAAUAACUAAAUUUCCUUACAUAAAUUAGCAUAAUCAAAACUCAAGUUAAGCAUAAUCAUAUCAAAGUCCAAGCUAAGUUGAACAAUUGACCGCUACCAAAUCCACUAAAUCAAAAUAGUCUACUAGCAAAAUCUGAGUCUCUAUGUCGGUAACACCUACAUACCCAAAAUAUUGCAAUGAUAGUCAGAAUAAAAUAACUAUGUCAACUAAGCCAACAAUGAUUGAUUUAUAAAAGAGUUAAAUUUUAGGAAAAACUUCACAUAAAAAAAAUGAUUAGAAAUUACCUUUUAUUUAAAAAAAAUAGAAAUUACUUUUAAUUAAAGCGUUGCUCUGCGUUCCUUCAUUGACUUGAAAGCAUCAAUAAUAGAAUCUGAACUAAAACUUGAUGCAAUCACUCUUUCAAUGUAUACUAUCAUGCUAUCAACAAGAAAGUCACCUUCCAUCUUGUUUCUCAACCUGGUCUUAUUUUUUCGUUGCUGAAAAAGAUCUUUCAAUAGUAGCUGCAGAAACUGGAAGAGUCGUGAUAAGACGGAAUAAUCCGCCAAUUAAGUAAUAAACUCCAGAUUUGUUUGUCACUGACAAACAUGUAAACAAUUCCUGUAUGGUUGAUAAAUUAUUCAAAUCAGAUUUGUUUUAUGUAUAUUUUUUUGUGUGUAUUAAACUGCACUCACAAUUCUAACCAACAUGUGGUGAAGCUUAAAUAUCUUUUCAAAAGUGGUGCUCCUAAGAAUCAAACACUCAAUAUAUAGUUUAAGCAACCUUUAACCACCGCAACUAACACUUGUUGGGUAUUAUAUAUAUGAUUUUUUAUAUAGUAUAAUAUAUAUCCUACAUAUAAUUUUUUUUUGGGCAAAUCUGUGAGGGAGCUACAGCUCCCUUGUGUCAACCUUAAGGUCCACCACUAAAGGAGAGAAUGAAAGAAGAAGACUUAUGAAAGGCGCUCAUAUAUCUCAUUUGAAAGAUUUGUAAAUGAGGGAAGUAUUUGAGGUAUUUAAAAAAAAAAUUAACUUUAAGAUCCCUCGAAAGACAUCUCUUAUAUAUGCUCUGUUUGGAUGAAGAAGAGAAAACAAACGGAAGGAAUAUAAGAGGAAGGAAUAUAAGUGAAAAAUGAGGUGAUUUUUAAGAUGUUUGGAUUGAGGGAAAAGGAAAGAAGAAGGAAAGGAAAAGUGAAAGUAAUGCUUACACAAUUACUAUUUCACCCUUUUUACACAAAUUUUUAAAUAGUCAUAUUAUAUUAUUAUUCGAUACAUAUUAUAUUAAAAUUAUAUUUUAAAUAAAUAAUUAUAAAUAAAAUAUAUAUUCACGACAUUAACUAAUUAAUUUUUUUUAAAAGUAAACUAAAUAAAAAAUUAUAACUGCACUAGCCAAGUUAUUUGAAUGGAAUUGAGAAGGUAUGAAAAACAGUAAACGAGUUGAGUAAACAUAUAAAAAUAAUGCUAUGUAAAAAACAACGUAAAAAUAAUAGAUGUGACUUGUGAGAAAGAACACCAUUUCAAGAAAAAGAGAAAGAACACGUACAGGUACAACAAUGAUGAGUGUUUACUAGGAUAUAGCCUGUUACCCGUGCGAUGCACGAGAAUUUUAUUCAACAAUUCAUUCAUAUUAAUUAUGUGAUGAACACAUGAGUUAUAUAAUUACUGAUGUCGGAUCAAAUAAAUUAACAAUCAUUUUUAUCCAUCGCUGAUGACAUUAUCUAUUUAUUAUAGAUGACAUUGUACCUUUACUUUUUGAGUAAUAUUUAUUAAAGGUAUUUCACUUAAUAAUUUUUUUAGAUUUUGAAUUUGACAAAUUCAACAAAUUAAUUAACCAACACUUUGCAGUUUGGCCACAUGGUCUUUGUCUUCAAGAAACUUGUUCACAAUUUUGAAUCAUAAAUUUAGGGAAAACAAAUAGACUCAAGGGCAAAUCUAGUGUUAUAAAUCUAUCGUUAUGGGGGACCGAACCCAAUUUGUGAAUCCAAUGUAAGAAGUCUCUUACUCAAGAUAAAAAAAAGGGUAGGGGAAGCCAUUCGCAUGAGGAACAAUUUAUUAUCCACAUAUUUGAAAUUUCUUUAAAUUCACUAAACAAUCUCUUACUUUUUUUGAAAAAAAAAAUAUAUAUAAAUAGUUUUAAGAACCAACCCCUCUCAAUAUGGACAGGAAUAUCUCUUAUAUAAGAUAUUUUCUCGUCUAUAGCUCUAAUAAAAUAAAUAGAUAAAAAAAUAUUUUGUAAUGCAUUUGAAAGAACUAUAAACAUAUUAUAGCUUAAAUUAAAAAAAAAAUGCAAAUUUUUCAGAAUUAUAAGGCCAUGGUCCAAUUUUUUUUAUUUUUAAUAGCUUGAAUUGAUGAAAUUCUUAUAGGUGUUAUACUUUAGAAGAAGAAAAAAUGACAAAGACGUGAAGAAUUGACUGCUACGAAUAGUUUCUUCUCUUUCUCUCAAUAUGGGAUCUCAUACAUGUUUAGAGAUCAUACCCUCAUUUAGUUGUCCACCGUGAAUUUGGUAUGCUUUUCUAGAGGAAUAUAGUUUGGGUGGAGUGUAUUCAAAUGAAAGGAAGACAUGAAGGAUGAGACAAAGAGAGUGAAAGAAGGGCAUUUAUGUCUACUAAAAUAUUUUUCCUCCAAUUUCCUCCACUUUUGAAGGGGAGACAAAAUUGAGAUAUGAGGGGUUUUGGUCCCCAUCCCAUCCCCUCCUGAAAAUUGAACCAAACACAACAAAAUUUAAAAAACUCCUCCCUUCCCCUCCAACCAAACACUAUCUUACUAAUUCCUAGGAUUCUUAUAUCUUGGAUUUCUAAAGCAUUUGGUAUAUCAGAUGUGCAGAAUUAUAAGCUUUUCUCCCAAUUUGUCUUGAAGGAAAUAAAUUGAAACCACUUCCUUCAAUCAAGACAUUCUACAAAGCUAACACACGAAAUAUAUAAUAUUCAAGAAAACCAGCACUGAUAGACUCAUAGACAUCCCUGUAAGCAAUGAUCUCACUGACUCACUGUCAAAUUAUAACACAGUUUAUUGAUAAUGCAUAGCUACAUAAUACACUCUGGAAAGUUAAGACUAAAAAGCUAAUAGAAAACAGAAAAAUAAAAAGAGAAAGCCAUAAGCUUUAUUCUAUCUAUCUUUCUAAGGAGAAAAAAGUAACAUAAGUAUUGGUUGUAUCAUCUGAGAAAGCAGAAGAAAGAAAAAAAAAUUCAAAAGAAAAAAGAUCGGUUUUAUUUAUAGCAAAUAAAAGCUUGAGAACAAUCCUACUCAAUUAUAAUUAUAUCAACAGCCCCUCACUAACAUCAAGCCACCAAAAUCAAAUCAAGUUACAGGUUAAAUAAAAAUAUAAUUGUGUAACUUUAUGUCAUAAGAUGCUCCAUUAAAUUAACUUAAAAAGAUCCUAACAGGACAAUCUUUUCUACCAAAUGAAGAUUAAAUCCCUUCAACGAUCUCUGUUAUUUCUAAAAACAUUAGAUUUUCCCUAGCAUUUGGCCAACACAUUUGUGUACAUUUUCAUCAGGGAUUCGGGGUCAAAAAUAAUUUGGCCAGCUCCCACAAACAGCUUGGAGCAUAACAUAACAGCUGAAGCCAAAGAAAGUUUCACAGAACCAAACAAAUCUACAAAUGCCAUGUGAACCCACUCUAAACACCAUCUGACUUGGCGAUCAUAAUGUACAAAACUGGUGCAAUGGCAAUCACCCACCAUGAUGCGAAAGAUUAAUUGUCACUCCUGCUAAGCCCCACCCCACUUUCAAUUUUAGGAGCCAACUGAAAAACAAUGGCAUCAAAUAACAAUGUAAACAAAAAGAAAUUUGAUAGAAUUUUUUUAAGAGAAGUAAAGAAAAGGACAAAUCUACUCACAGUAGAAUAUUCAAGAAACCCCCAAUACCAUUCUUCAAAACAAACGUAAUUGCACACAUACAUUUUAAAGUGACCCCAACACUAAUUGGCAAUAACUAAUUAAGAAGACAAGUAGAUUAGGAAGGCUGCAAAGACAGCUAAACAAAAAUAAAGUUUCAAAUCACUUACUAAGUGAAAAAAAUAAGGUUGGAAAGGUAAACAUGCAGAGUAAAUGGUUUAGAUGUUAGCAAUUUAUGAGGCAUUGAAAAGGUAAACAUACAAAGUAAAUGGUUUAGAUGUUAGCAAUUUAUGAGGCAUUGAAGUAUUAAUCAUGGAAUGAAUAAAUGAAAGAACUUAGUUAAGACUAUUUUUUCAAUUUGUACAUUUAGGCUAUAGAAUUCUCACAUAAUGGUGACAAAUUGUCUUACUCUUAUAGCAGAGUUUCUAAAGUCAUCAUUGAAGCCAUUAUAGUAUCCACACAGCAAUAUAAACUACUGAGAAAAACAUGACAGUUACAAACCACAUCAUUGGAGUGAAUGGUGUGAGAAAAGCCCAAGCACGAGAUUUCAACUUCUUGAUAGAUGCCACAACCUGAAUCAAUACAUGGCUGUGUAAAAUCUACUAUAUUGGUUUGAUUUGUAAAAUCCACUAUAAACAGAAAAUAAUUCCUUUGGAUGUAUCUAAAUCUGCAAAUAAUUCUUGUGUGUGACUUUCACUUGCAAACUGGACAAACCUGCUAAGAGAGUCCUCACUAAUAGACUUGAAAAAUCACAACAAUAUUCAUCAGAUGAGAGCUCAGUUGAAUGAAAAAAAGAAUCACACUUAGAAUCAUAAAGAGGCAAACCAAAUUUGCUCAGUUUCUCAGACAAUGAAAGAUUACAGCAGUUGAACAUUUCAUAGCAAUAAUUUCCUGCCAAACACUAUUAACAUGAGAAUCAACAAUUUUUUUGUAAAUAUUUGCAAUUUUUCAGUCAGACACUUGAGCUCCCCCAUAAUGUUUGUUAGAAAUAUAGUUGGGCUUUCUCCUUAUAACUUAAGCUUUUAGGGGAUUUGUUCCCCAUCGUUCAAUACCAAAUCAAUGCAACCACAAUAACUUCAUUUCAAGCAUGCUAAAUAAAUUCUCACCUCCCUCUUCUAAAAAAAACUAACUUAAUCAAUCAUAUGGCUUCCCAAUGGAUCAUAAAGCUUAAGAAGCACAUACUAAAAAUAGGGGAAAAGAGCAGAAUUUGAUAUCAUACACUUUUCUACAGUAUACACAUUUAAUUACUUACAGAACAUUCUUCAUUGCCUACACUUCAGAAGCUUCAGCCACAUUUCAGACUGAUAGUGUUUUUGAGGUCUCAAAAUCUCAUAAGCCUUCCCCUGCAGCCCUUUAAAAGGAUAGUUGUUAUUUUCCUUCAUUGAGAAAUACACAUAAAGCAUUUUGUAACCACUUUGUGGUGCAAAAGCUAAAGCAACAAUCGAGUUCAUAAUUCAACAAAUUGAUUCAAUCAACUUUACACUAUUCUCAAACUCUAUGUUAUGAGUUCUAUUUCUUGAAAAAUAAUCAAAUGUAAAGAAAACACACACUCAUGAAUGAAACAACAGAACAAUGAAGAGAUUAACCGUGAGAACAUUGCAUGAACACACACUCUAAAACCAAAGGAGUAUUUAUAGGAGUGGAAAUGAAAUAACCCCAUUACUCUAUAACCAGUAGGGUAUCAAUUGAAUAUUAGUAGGUUAACUAUUUGUACUAUCAAUUUAGUAAUAGGGUUUUUAAUGAAAGAGUGAAGAAUUGGAUAAAGGAAACUCAUCUGACCAUUGGAGCCACCAUCAACGUGAUGAAAUCCCCCAUCAUCAAUUCGAUCAAAAACGUGAAAACCCAAUAAAGGAGGAAAGGAAACCCAAAACAUUGCUGAUGGAUUCAAACCCAAAACGAAUGAACAGUGGAUUCAAACCAAAUCGUCUGGCAAACAGCAACCGGCGGCGGAAAGAAAACCUCAUCAAAUCAAUCGGAAACGGUGCAAUUGAUGGAUUGGUCAGAAGAGGGUGGAAAGAGCAACGAAAACACGCAAAAACAGCUAGAGUUCAGAUUGAUGUGGAGAAAACGCAAGUUGUGGAAGAAGGAAGGUGAUGAAUGGUACCGUACGACGGAGUGGGUUGAAAGGAGAGGAAACACGUUAAGCCAGCUAGGUUGAUUGGAGAUGGGGAGAAAGAAUGCUGGAGAUAGAAAACAACGUCGUUUGCAAGGCUCCACUUGAAAAAGAAAAAAAAAAGUUGAAAAAGCAGGACACAUGGCGAGCAGCGAUUGGAGGUCUUGUAGGAAUAGUGAAAACAAAACUCAUGAAUAAGAAGUAGUAGAGUAGAUAAGGGUAUUGUUGUCUUUUAAAUAAAUCCUCUUGUCUCUUCUAGUUUAAUUUUCCGUCCAGAUGUGGGAGGAAAAUAAAUUUGACACUGUUCAUGCACUGUUCAACCCCCCUUCCUUUUCCUCUCUCUUCCAAACACUUCAAGAUUCCCUUUUCCUUCAUCUUUCCCUCCCAUCCUUAUUCCUUCCUAAACUUUCCAUAGAAACAAACACUGCGUUAGUGAUAAUGGGGGUUUUUGAGAAAUUUGAGAGUAUCAAACAAGAGAAUGACCACUCUCUUUCCGCUCUCCUUCUCCUCAAAUACUCUCAUAAAACUCUUGAAGAAAGUCUAAGGGAGAACAAGAAAAUGACUUUAUUUGUGAGUUUUAGGGAAGUGAAAAGCUUUCAGGAGAAGGAAAUUAAAUUAAAUCAGAGGAAAAUGGAAGGUGAAAGAAUUGUGAACUUGUGAUAAAUCAUUUCAUUGUUUAAAAGUUCAAAAUUUUGCAAAAUUCCCAAAUUGAAGAAUCUGCACAAAAUAUAAAAUGGUUUUAAGAGAUCUCAGGAGAGUGUCAUAAAUUUCCCAAACCUGAAACCAUUCUCCUUAAUAAAAAAACUUUCAACCAACAAGACUUCUAAUUAAGUCUCAUUCUUCCCCCUUUUCCAUUCCAAAACUUAACUUACAAACUACAAUCACAUCAUAAGAGACUUAAUAGCAUUAUAUUGUAAUUGUUUCUGAUCCACAAAUAGUCAAAUAGGUGUCUCGAUCUGAUCCCGUAGGUUGAUGAUAUUAAAAACAAAAGUGCAAUUUAAAUUGACUCCCCAAAGCACAUUCUCAGAUCAAGCCAAUUAAUUACACUCCUUUCACAAUUCACAUGCAAUCUGUUGAUUGUUUUGAAUUAGCUUAAUGACAUAGACUGCCAUAAAGAAAAACACACCCAAAAAAAUUAAAUGAAAAUGAUGAAAUGACAUGCAAUGCAAGGAUUGUGUGAUGGUGAGAUAGAUAUGUAAUGUCAUUGUUCAUUUACGUUCUCUGGGACCCCAAACGUAUAUUGACAGAGAUAGCAAACUGCUUUUCUUGAAAUGAAAAACAAAAUUCCGACAGAAAAAAAAAAUCUAUCUAUAUCUAUAUGUAAAGCUCACUUGAGCUUUUACAUUAAACUCAUUAGCAAAGAGUAUUAAAUGCAUUAAACCAUAUAAUUCUCAAAUUAAAAACUAAAAAAAAUUAUUGUCAAUAUUAAAAAUUAAUUUUGAUAAAAAAAACUGAAAUUUUCUUUAGUUUUGCAUUUGACAAAUAUUGAAAAUUAAAACUAGUUAAUAAUAAAAUAAUAUUUUUAAUAAAUAAUGUAGAUAAAAAGAUAAAUAGUUUUAAAAUUAAAAAGCGCCGCUAAAAUGAAUUUAAAGUUAACUAUAACAUAUAUGUGCAUUAUUGAAAAAGUAUCUAAUAAUAAUUUUGAUCUAUGAUAUAUUAGUAAAAAUUACUUAUCCAUGAGAGGGUUGUUCUCAUGAAUCAUUUGCUAUUAAUAAUAUUCAUCUUUUGUUGUAAAAAAAAAUUUACUUAAGGAAGCAUAAUAGAGAAAAUUAAUAGUGGUCAAAGUUGAAUAAAUGUUCGUUGUGAGAGGCAUAUCCAUUUAAUGUGAUCGUAGAACAUCGAGAGAUUAUAAGUCUCUUGGCUAUCGGCUUUAAGAAAACAUUCGGAAAUCAAAUAAGUUAAAUAAAUUCAAAUUCGCUUGAUAAUAUUUUAAGCUAAUUAUGUCAUCACUUAUCAUAAUUCUAAAAUUUAAAAUUAAUUUAUUCUUCUUGACCUUGACAAAUCACAACAAAUGACUUUCUUGGUAAAAAGUUGGAUUGAGCGAGCACCCACACCCUAGAGGAACUUGCCCAGAGACGAACAAGACCUAAAAGAGAGGAACUCACUAGGGGCGAGAGAAAGGACUUAGGAGAUUAGGGACCGAGAUUAGGGACCCCCUAAGGGCAAGCGCCAGGGGCGGUUGAUGUAUGUAAGGGAGUUGGGCCAGGUGAGGUACGACCCAACAAGCCUCAUUAGUGGCAAAGUUAGGGUUUCAUGUAACCUCUAUAAAAGGGGACUUUAUGAUCAUUGCAAAGGAUCAUUCGACAUUUAUUCUAAAGGAUUAGGCUAUUACUAGACUCAUGCUUUACUAGGGUUUGAGGCUUAUACCAUUCUUGAGUGUUCAUUUCCAGAACAAAAGUAUAAAAAAUGAUAUUAAAAUUUAUUUCAUGACACUAGCACAUAACAUUUUUUUACGUAAUUUAAAUAUUUCAAUUUAACUUAAUAAUUUUUCAUAAAUUUUUUUAUUUCUAAAAAUCAUUUCUAUGCUAAUAAUUAAAUAUCAAUAAUAAAAUUUGAGUAAUAUUAAUUAUUCAUACAAAAAAAUUUAAUAAUAUUUAUUAAAAUGUCUUAACACAGUUUAUUUACAAUUAUAAUUAAAAAAUAUUUUUUUAUUUAUUUAAACUAUAAUAAUUUAUAUAUAAUUUUAAAUAAAUAUUGUAAGUAAAUCCGUGCAACGCACGGGUAUAAUAUCUAGUAUAUAUAUGUAAAGGAGACUUGAGCUUUUUGCAUUAAAUACAUCAAGUAAUAAGUAAUUCCUACCUCUACAUUAAAAUACAUUAAAAAUAAAGAAUUUCAUUUGCAAUAAAUAUAUUAAAUAAUAAAUUAAAACUGAAUAAAUUGUAAUGUCAAAAACUAUUCAACUACCAACAUUAAAUAAUAUAUUUAUAAACUUAUUUAUCUUCAUUUUUAUAAUUAUUUAUGUAUUAAUUAUAAAAUUUCCUUUACAUUUAAGUAAAAGCUAAAUAUAAUGGGAUAAAAAAAUUUAAACAUAUGUAGUUAAAAUAUUAAUUAUUGACCUCAAGUUGAGAAAAAAAUUAAAUUGAUAUAGAGUAAUAUAUUUUAAAUAAAAUAAAUAUAUGAAAUAUAAGAAAUAGUCAAUGAUUAAAUGCUUUUAUUAGUUACAUGUAUUGUUUAAUAUAGAUUAUAAUGUUGUUUUGUGUUAUUUUCUUUUUACAUACAUAAACAAUUUAUAUAUUAUAAUUAUUUAAGUCUUUUAAAAUAAUCUUUUUAUAUACAUUAAAAAAGUGUAUAGAGUAUACACAAGAUGAUAUUUAGAAAAAACUUUUAUUAAAUAAUAUUUUUAUAUGGAAACAUUAUUUAUAAUUAAAAUUAAUUAAUUGUAUUAAUAAAAAUUAGCAAAUAGUAUUAAAAUUUAAAAAUGCCGCAGUAAUUUAUAAAAAUAUUUUUAAAAUUAACCUUAUUAAGUAUGAUGUGGAUGUCAAAAAAGUAUGACGUGUGUGUAUUGUUUUCAGAAAUUUAUUCAAAUAUAAAUUUUGAUCUAUUAUAUAUUAGUAAAAAAGAUCAACUUAAAGAAGUAUAACAGAGAAAAAUAAUUAAGGCUAAAAUAAAAAAAUAUUAAUUUACUAAAUAAUAUUUUAGAAUAUUAAAAUUAUAAUUUAUUGUAAUUAUCAAAGUUAAAGUUAAUUAAUUGUUGAUAAAAAGUAUAGAAAAUGUUGAUAUAAUUUAUUUUGUGAUAUUAAAACUUAUUAAUUGAUUUAAUUUUUUUUGAAAACUGAAUAACAUAUUAUUGAUAAGCCUCCAAAAAACAGGCAAGCAACGAAAUACAUGUCCAUAUCGCCGACAAACAAAAACCCCCACCCAUUGACCACAUAAUUUAUUUGAAAUUCACUUUAUAAUUUAUUGUAUGAUUAAAUAAAUACAUUUUUAAAUUGUUAAAAUUAUUUCAAUGCUAAUUAUGAAAUUUGAAUAGUAUUAAUUAUUUACACAAAGAAAACUCUAAUACUCAUACUGAAAUGUUUUAACACAAUUAUUUUUAUUUUAUUAUAUUUUAUAAGUAAAAAUAUUUAGUAUAUAUUUUUAUUUAAACUAUAAUAAAUUUUAUAUAAUGUUGAUAAAAUUGUAAAAUCACCCGUGCAACACACGAGUUUUAUAUCUAGUAUAUAAGUAUUUGUGGUACUUUAUAUUUGUGGUUAUAUAUAUCUCCACCCAGUUAACCUGUAUAUGGAUCUUGUAGGAGGGAAUAAUAAAUACAAUAAUAUAUAAUAUUAAGGGAAUUGUUAUUCAGACCCCCCACUCCUAUUCAGACCCCUGUUAAAAUUGUAAAAUCCGAAAAAACCCUUUAUGAAAAAAUUUCGCUCGCACUGUGAAAGUGCGACCAAAACGCACUUGGAAAGUGCGUCCAUCACGCACUUGGAAGGUGCGUCCAUCAUGCACUUUCAACUUUUGUUUUGGUCGCACUUUUCACAGUGCGAGAUAAACGAACUGAUUUCUUUUUUUUUUUCUGUUUAAUUUUUGGAAGAAAUUUAGGACUGACACUUCUUGGUUAAGGUAAUAGGAUCAUUUUGAGCUCAAAUAUGCAGUCAGAAUCUCCAAAUUCCGACACCUUGUAGUAGUCACUUUAGAAUCAGGAGCGGUGCGGUUUGGAAAAUUGGACAAUUUUUUAUCUCGGAUGCGAAGUCGACCAACUGCAAAGUUGAAGAGAAAAAUCAAACGAUCAUAACUUAGCACCUUCUUUGAAGGUCCUAAGAUUUGUGUAAUUUAGCCAAAUUCUUUAACCUGGUAUUUUAUUUUGAAUUUCAAACAUUUUUUAUUCCAUCAUAAAUCUUCAAAUAUUCUAACUUGAUUUACUGUGGAGUCUCAUAAUUUUUAAAAAUCAUCUGACAUCAGUUCUGUACAAAUUUACAGUAAUUCGCCCUUUAAAAGUGCGUUUAUGUCACACGUUAUAUGUACGUUAACGACGCACUUUUAAAGUGCGUGCGUAACAUACUUCUAAAGUGCGUUUGUUGGCAGAAAAACAAAUUAAAAAUGACAGGAACAAUUUUUAAAAACGACAUAAGAUGGAGCUUGUGGUGGUGGUGGCGUGCGGCAGUGGUGGCGGCGGCCAUAGGGUGGCGGUGGUUGUGCGUGGCGGUGGUGGGGGGUGAGAGUAAGAGGAAAGAGGUAAGGAGAGAGGAGAGAGGAGAGAGGAGAGAGAAUGUGAGGAUGGGGUGGAUUUUUUUUUUAUAUUUUUUUUCAUCAAGGGUAUUUAAGUAUUUUUGCACUUUUUUAGGGGUCUGAAUAGGGUGGGGGUCUGAAUAACAAUUCUCUAAUCUUAAUACAGAGUGGAUGACCAAUAUGCCAACUUAAUAAUUUGGGUAAAUGUGUAGCGGCAAAUUCUCUUAUGCUCUGUUUGGAUGCAGGAGUGAAAACGAGAGGAAGGAAUAUAAGUGGAAAUAAUAUAAAAGGUGAGAAUAUAAAGGAAAAAUGAAGUGAUUUUGGAGUUGUUUGGAUUGUGUGAAAAUGAAGGGAAAAUAGAUGGAAAAGUAAGAAAGUAAAAAUGAGUACACUAUGUAAUUACAUUUUUAUCCUCUUGUGGUUUAUAUAUUAAAUAUUAACUUUUUAGACCAUGCUAUUAUUAUUAUUCAACUAAUAUUGUUUAUUAUAUAAACGUCAAUAUUUUACUAUAUAUUGUAAAAUAAUAUUUACGAUAAUAAUUAAAAAAGUUAUCGUCCAUUAUAAAUAUAAUUACACUCGUUAAAAAAAAUAUAAUACACGGUGUAAAACGGCAUUUGAUAAAAUUAUAAUAACUUGCAAUCUUAAAAAAUUUAAUUUAGAAUCUACCGGAACUGACUUAUUUAAAAACAAAUUGUAGAAUAAGUUGUAAUAUGAAAUAGUUUUGGUACACAGUAGAGAGAGAAGGGCAGUUAAACACUUCAUUAAUAAUGUAUAAUAUUUGAAGGUUAUUUUUGUCUUCCUAUGAAAAUCAUGUUCUCCAGCCAGUUUUCCCCUCAUAGGUGCGCGGAGUACUAUUCACCCUCCUACUUCCCUCCCCCUCCAUUUUCUGGUCAUUACCAAACAUAAAAAGAUUCCUUUUCCGUCCCUUUUCCUUUCCAGCCUUAUUCCUUCCUGCACUUUUCCAUAAAAACAAACAGAUACUUGAGCUUUUAUUGUGUUCCCAACACUUUUACAUGUAUCACUGCCCUGCCGUGCUCUCAUGCAACUAUUCACACUACUAUACCGUGCAUCAUCAGAGUGAAUGGUGAAUUAAUCUGUUUGCUCAGAUUUGGAAGAACAAGGAUAUAUUUAUUUUGAAGACAGCCGAAAUUGAUUACUUAUUAAAAAAACUGAUAAAAUGGAUCAGAUAAAUAUAAAAUUUAAAGGUUAUAAAAUAAUGCGAUUUUUUUAUUAUAAAAAACAGGUAUUAUUUGCGUGUAUGGAAGUAGGAAAGUUGGCAUAUUGGCCACUCUGUAUUAAAAUUAUGUAUUAUUGUAUUUAUUAUUUCUUCCUACAAGAUCCAUAUACAGGUUAACUGGGUAGGGGAAAUUGGGAACAAGAUGGUCAGCAUAUUGAAGAGGCUUAAAUGUGGUAGAUCAUUGUCUGUUUUCUUUCAUUUUUUAAUUGACUCAUAUAUGAAGACAAAAUAUACAUGUCAUGCUAAUCACGCUAUUCUCCUUUCCUAUAAUAACUAGCAGCUUUACUUUCAAAAAAUAAUAAUAAUAGCAACUUUGGACUAUGAUCUAUUUUUCCUUUAAUUGUCACAUUAGGAUGCGCGGUUGCAUGAGGCGACUUCAUAGUUCUGCAGCUUAAUUACUAUAAGCCGUUAUGGUUGAUGAGGAUUUUUCCCCUUGUGUGUUGCGUGCAUGAGAUCAUGGGUGCUCAUGUUUCUGCUACUCUUCAUCCUACUCCAUCUCCUCAUGUCUAUGGUAUUGAAUCUUGUUAUCGGCUUAUCGUACUUAUGAACGAGAUUAUGUGGAUGAUGAGAAUGAUGUGUACAGUUACUUCUGCAUUGUAUAUUCUUUUUUCGUUUUCAUAUUUUUUUUUAAAUAAAAUGUUGUAUGUCGGUAAAAUCUCGCUUGUAUUAACGUAAUUGAUAAAUUGUUGCUUAUAAAUUGUUUGGACCUUUAGUAUUUUUCCAUUGGUGUUGUUCAUGGAUAAUAUAUCAUUUUACAAAAAAGUCGUUAGUAAAAGUUAUUGAUGAGGCUAUAUAUUACCGAUGAGAUAAAGGUCGUCGGUAAUCCGUCAGAAAAAUACACUUACCAACAUUUUGCCACACGUUUUCUUGUAGUAAGGUAGUGGGAGGAAAGAAAAUGAUAUAAAUAUAUAAAACUAAGUGUUGUAUAUGAAUCAAUAAUUCCAAAAGCUUACGCUGUUGAUCAGUAAAUGGCAUAUAAGUAUUAUAUUUCGAACAAAAAGAAAGAAAGAUAACAUAAGAAAUGUGAUGAGUAGUAUGAUUAAAAAAAGGUAGAAAAUAAUUAAUUAGAGGUGAAAAUUAAAAGAGACUAAAAUUAAUGAAAGUAGGUAAUUAAACAUGAAUCAUAAUUGAUAAUCUAUUAAUUCAUUUUGUAGAACCUUAAACCUAAAAUAAAAGGAUAUAGAGGGUACCUUGCUUAUAAAAAAAAAAUAUAGAGGGUUCCUUGACAACUUGCCACCAUUAGUGCAGAUAGUUGGUAAACAAAUUCUUAGGUGAAUGACAAUAAAUAUGUAUUCUCUCAAUAUAAAAGCAAGGGUGAGUAAAAUAUAUUUUGAGUAUUGUAAAAUUAUCAACAUUCAAUCUUAGUUUUUAAUUUCUAAUAGAUCUCAUUUUGGUACUUUAUUUUAAAAAAAUAACCUCAUUUUAAUCUCAAUCAAUGUUGAUAAAAAGGUGAAACGAACCAUAUAUAUAAGGCUAAUUGAAUGACAUGCCUAAUUUCUCUCACCUUCUUUUUAUCAUUCAAAAUUUAUAUAGGUCCAGUAAAUUAUAUAGAUGUCUCUCAUAAUUUGACAAGAUCUACAUGAAUUUUAACUAAUUGAAAAAAAAGUGUAAAAAAAGUGUCACUAACACUCGAAUAUUGUCUUUUCAUUACUUUUAAUUUUUAUAAGAAAACAAUAUAUUAUACAUGGACACGAGAGACUUCAUGUUGCAUAUAACAUGAGAUUAAUUCUAGCUUAAUUAGAGGUUUGAUGUUCGAGAUCCUAUAAAUGUAAUUGUGUUAAAUACGUUGUUGGAAGAAAUUAACUUCAAUGCAUAGGGAAUAUAUACUUGGGGCGCUCACAAUUUAGAACCGGGAGUCUAUAGUGACAAUACAUUCACAAGGAACUGCUGGGAGAUGGUACAUAUUUAUCACACAUUAAGAGGUGCCUUGAAUUGAAUCGAAUUGUAAUACUCUUUGAUAAGGUGUACUACUACUACUACUAUGUCUCUUAAUUAUAUAUGGUCGUUCGUUCUGUGCGCCUGUAGCUGGUAGCAGCAGAAGGUUAGUAUUAAAUUCAUGACAUCAAAUAUCACAACCAAUAAUGACCUCUAUUUAAGGGUACUCCGACCCCUAUCCUUAUUCAUUCAUUCAUUCACAGGCCCAGCAAUAUAACCUCAAACUUGUGAGUGAUAAAAAACUUUGCCAUUUACAGAGAGGUACCCUUGCCAUGGAGUACCAAAAGCACAACCCAUGUAGUGUUUUCUUUUCUUCAUGUCUUGUUAUCAUAAUGUUGAUCAACAUUCCCAAAGCUGCUGAGGGUCGAGCAUUUUUCGUUUUUGGGGAUUCGCUCGUUGACAAUGGCAACAAUAACUACCUCAUUACCACUGCUCGAGCUGAUUCAUACCCUUAUGGUAUUGAUUAUCCAACUCACAGAGCCACCGGUCGUUUCUCCAAUGGCCUCAACAUUCCAGACCUUAUCAGUUAAGAGCUAGCUCCUCACUUCUUCUAUAUAUGCAAUGCAAUCACCCCUGUUUUCAAAUUAUACUUAUAAUAACAUGUUUGGAUCGGUUUCUUUUAACAUAAAAUAUUAAUCCUGAGAUGCAGAAAGUUCUAACAGAAGCUUCCUCGUAUAAUUGAUUAUGACUUGUAGAUAUGGUUUACAAACAUUCUAAAUAGUUAGAGUAGCUUUCAGCUUCAUAAUUUUUGUUAUGUGGGGUUUAAUUUUAAUACUCUUGACUUGACAUGUUAGUUUACAUCAUAACCUUUAUUUAUUAGUUGCUACAUACUACUACAUCAAUCAAUUAAUUAACUAAUUAUGAUGCAUACAUGUAGGUGAGCGAAUUGGGUCGGAGCCCACACUGCCCUACUUGAGUCCUCAGCUGGAUGGAGAAGCGCUUCUUGUUGGUGCCAAUUUUGCUUCUGCUGGGAUAGGAAUUCUCAAUGACACUGGAAUUCAGUUUGUAAGUUACACAUUUCCCCCUAAUUUUACUCCUCACACACAUUUUGGUAUUUUGAGUAUACACAACAUCGUCGCUUCAAGCAGACGCAGUAAUGCUUAAUUUUCCUUAAGUAAGGUUUUAAAUUCAAUAAUCUUUUUGCAGAUAAACAUAAUUCGAAUCAGCAGGCAAUUGCAAUACUUUGAGCAGUAUCAGCAACGGGUGAGUGCGCUGAUCGGAGAAGAGGAGACAGGGCGGCUGGUGAACGAAGCCCUGUUUCUAAUAACUUUAGGAGGGAAUGAUUUUGUGAACAACUAUUUCUUGGUGCCAUUUUCUGCAAGAUCACGCCAGUUUGCACUCCCGGACUAUGUUGUCUACCUCAUUUCUGAGUAUCGAAAAAUUCUUGCGGUAUUUGCUAUUACUCCUCUUGCUAUUGUUUUUAGUAUUAUCUUGUUCGUUUGUUGUUUUGCCCGUUACUUUCAUUUGGUUAACAUUUUAGGUUGUCUUGAAACCAUAUAUAUGAAGAGAUUCCAUGAUUGAUCUUAAAAAAAUGGUGAACACUUUAAGCGAGGAACAAAUUGAAAUAAUGUGUGUAUGUGUAGAUUUGGGGAUAAGUCAUGUAUAAAUAAGUUUUACAUAAUUAUUCAAUAACAUUCUUUUAUUUUAUUAGCUCAUGUUUACUUUUCUUUAGUUGACAUAUUUUAUUGCACCAUUAUUACUUUUUUUUUUUUAUUUAUGUUAGACUUGAAUAUAAGAUAUGUCAUGUUUACUUUCAUUUUCUUUUUACAUAUUUUAUAGUUUAUGUUAGACUUGUGUAUACCACAGAUUUCAAAUUAAAGUUUAAAAUAAAAAAUAAGCCUAAAAAAUAAUAGUCAAAAUUUGUUUAUUUUUGAAGGAUAUGAGAUUGGAAUUUAAAGAGUGGAAAAUUGGGAUUUUAAAUUUUAAUAUUGAUUACUGAGUUUUGAUGAAAUAAUUUCAACAAUGAUUAAUUUUUUUUGAAAGUAACAAUGAUUAAGUUACUUCAACCACAUGGGGUGGCACAAGUGGUGAAUGUGCAUUUCCUUAAGGGAUUUCACCUAGGCUUCUGGCCCGAAUUCGAUCUCAUCUGAGGUCAAAAAUAAAAACAUUUGUGGCCAGAGACAUCACUACCGUAUCCCGAGCCAGAUUAGUCACGUGAGACUCCUUUCCCCGUGGAGAGUGGUGGCCAAAGGAGAAAAAAAAUGAUUAAGUUACUUCAUUUUGUUAAUAUUUUUCUUAAAAAAUGAGAAUUGAGUGAUUUAAGUAGAUAAUAAUGAUAAACGGACUUAAUUUGCAAGAAAUGAAAAGUUGAGGACUAAAUAUGUUAUAAAAUUUAUUAAGGACCAAAAUCACCCACAGUCAAAACUAGGACACAAAAAAAUGCAAUUAGUAUAAACUUAUUCGAUAAUAAAAUUUGAAAUUUCAACAUAAAAACAUUUCAUAUCUACCAAUUUGAGGUUAUUUCCAUAGAUUUCUUAACAAUUUAUAAAACCUCAUCUUCAUAAUUUAUGGAUAUUCCUUUUAUAAUUUUGAUUAUUUUAUAUAUCGAAAAUGAUGUCACUUAUGAGAGAGCUAAAAAUAAAAGAGAGAAAAAAUGAGAAAUAUGAUAGGAAAAAAAAGUGAAAAAUAAGAAAAAAAAAGGGCAAAUAUGGAAUGCUAAGUUGUUCAUAUAUUAAUUAUUAAAGUUGUUCAUGCAUUAAAUAUUUCCAUUGUAGGAAUGAUAACAUUUAUGUCUUGCAUAGACAAGUAUCCAACUUAGGUAGAGAGUCAUCAAUUUGGGUCCUACAUAGAACAUGUACUUCUACCCAAUUGCCAAUCUUUUUUUUGAAAGUCCCAAUUGCCAAUCUUGAUCAAUAAGGCUUUUUCACUAUAUAUCUUUUGACAAAAAAAGAAAAAAAAUUCACUGUUUAAAUGCAUAUUUAAGCAAAUAACUUAUCAUACAUACCGAUUGCUUUAAGAUUGAGUAUGCACUACAACAAGUCAACAAAAGUGCUGAAAUUUUUUCCUUAUAUAUGAUGUAGUAGUUAUUUAAUAUUCUCAUAGGAUGAGUUAGCAAAUCCCAUUAAAUUAGUUGGCGAGGUAUCAGGGGUUGCAGAAGCCAUGGUCCAUUCUGCUAAUUAUAACCAUCAUCUGUGAUCUGUGGAUCAGGUGGAUGCUAUCACUCGUGAUGUACAGUUAUAAUAUUAACAGUGAUCUAAAAUAGCAAGUGGUUAUGGGCAAACAUAUCAUAUAAUAAAUGCAGAACAUUAAUGUGUAACGCUCUCUCUGUUUGCACCUUGUCAUUUAGUAAUAAUGUAAUUUGGUACAUGCAGAGGCUUUAUGAAUUGGGAGCAAGGCGAGUUAUGGUAACUGGUACGGGACCUUUAGGAUGUGUGCCAGCAGAAUUAGCUCAGCGUAGCAGAAAUGGGGAAUGUUCACCGGAACUGCAACAAGCUUCUGAUUUGUUCAACCCUCAACUUCUCCAAUUGAUCAAUCAACUCAACUCUGAAAUUGGUUCUGAUGUCUUUGUUUCUGCAAAUGCCUUUACAAUGAAUAUGGAUUUUAUUAGUGACCCUGAAGCUUUUGGUAUGUGAUCUUCCCUCUUUUCCUAUUGUUGUUGACUUGUUGCUAGCAUUGACAUUAGAUACUGUUGCUAAGGGUUUAUGCACGAGCACUUAUACAUAAGUUAAUUUGAUAGAUUUAUUGAAACAAGGUUAAAAUAAAUUAUAUGACACUUAUUUAAUACAGUAGUUUUACAGGGUGUGGUGGAGAAGUGAAUUUGAAAAUUCUAAUUCAGGCACACUAUUAACUUACUUUCUUAGGAGAGAUGGUUCAUAAAUAUCAAAUAGUGUUAUGUCUACAGUCUAUAGAUGAGUUGGGUACUGGCAUCAGCAGUACAAAUUUAAGCCUUUGGGGCAUUCUUGAGAUGGCCAGCUGCUAACCGCCUCCCACAUAGAUAUAAUAAGCUAUUCCCAACAUGGUGAGUUAGAGCCUAUUUAGAUACCAAUCAGAAAGUACGAAAGUGGAAAAAUGAUACAUUUCAAAGCAUUUUUGGUUUAAAAAGAAAUUCAGAAUGUGCUAUUUUCUUAUUAUUAUACUUUCUUUUUGAUGAGUAUAUAUAUGCAUAAACCGGUUCCUAAUUAUGUAUUUUUAUAGAAAAAUAUUUUGUAAACACUCAAUUUUAUUAUACCACAUAGAGAUGAUAUUAUUAUACAACAUAGAGAUGAUAUAUGUGACAUAUAAUAUGACCAUUGGUGGAGGUAUGAAUUUGAGAUUAGGAGGGGUCAAGAACAAAGACUAUUACAUAUCUCCAAUAAUAUCUAUAACUCACAUACAUGUAUGUCAUGGCCCCCUCUCUCCGCCCCUGGAUGUGAUGUAAUAGAAAUGAUUGAUGUAAUAGGAAGAGAAAGAUAAGAGAAAAAAUGAAAUGAAUAUAUGUGUCAUUAUUGUUUAGUGUUUAAAAAUUGGAAUUAUUUUCUAUAAGCCAAAUGAAAUACAAUAACUUGUUUUGUUAGAAAGCACUAAUUAGCCUGUUGUUUGUUAAUAAUGAGUGCAGGAUUUGCGACAUCAAAAGUUGCUUGCUGUGGACAAGGUCCAUACAAUGGGCUUGGACUCUGCACUCCAGUUUCUAACCUGUGUCCAAACAGGGACUUAUAUGCAUUUUGGGAUCCCUUCCAUCCAAGCGAAAGAGCAAACAGAUUGAUCGUGGAAAGAUUCAUGAUUGGUUCCUCCGAAUACAUGCAUCCAAUGAAUCUCAGUACCAUUAUGCAUUUGGAUUCAACUUCAAGGACCUAGCUAGCUACCUACCUUAUAGUAAUUAAUUAAUACCUCUUCUUCCUGUUGGUACUGUUGUUUUCUCCAGUGAUCGACAUGCUGUGUUGUAUUAUAUAAUUAUUGUUUAGGCUAGCUAUAUCCUUAAUAAGUGUGCAAAUUACUAUAAGAAAACAUUUUAUUUCAAACUGUGAGAAUUCAUGAUAUAUAAAAUGUAUCCCUCAGUGUUGCUUUGAGAAAAAAGACAGCUAGUCCAAGUGUAUCACUUUUAUUUUUUGGUUGAAAGCUGUAAGUGAUGUAUCAUUUUCUUUUUGUCAAGAAGCUAUGUAUCAUUUGGGCGUGAGAUAAUUUGUGAGUAGAUACCAAGCCCAAAGUUCUAUCAAUGGUCUUGUACUUUGAAGCCCAUUCAUAAUUUCUGAACAAACUUAAGCAUCUGCUAGCUAUCUGAGCUGUGGUAGCCCCAAUUCCCAAAUGUCUGACCGCAGGGGUGUCCAAGUAUCAUUUUUUUAUCCAUUCAACACAUCUAUGGCUAAGCAUUACACAUAACCAGUAAACCAGCAAUGGGAUUAACAUCUUCUUUCCCAAAAUUGUGUCUCAUUCUUUGUCUCACUAAUAGGAUUAUGCCAUAUCAAUUAAAAAAACACUCAUAUAAGAUUAUAAAUGUGACAUUCAUGUAUUUUUUUAAUUGACAUGACAUAAUUUUAUAGGUUGAGACAGAGAAUAAAACGUCAUUUAGGGCACAUGGCCUCAAUCCUUAUUAAGAUACUUGAACAUAUAAAGAAGAGUGCUCACACCUCAAAAUUUUCUAUAUUUCUCUCUUCUUAUGUAUAUUAGAUUAAUUGUAUCUCUACCUUCUCUUUGGUUCUCACUCUAUUGGAUUUUGAUGUGUACACAUUAACUUUCAUAUAUAAACGAGAGAUACUAAAGGAGGGUAGCUGUGACCAAACGCCACCCAUAUUUAUGGGGAUCACAUGCAUAUAUCUCUAUGCUUUGUCCCCACCCUAAACCAAUCUUCAUUGUAGAGGAAAAAAACCUUGCUCUAUCUUUUGAUUCUGUUUAGCUCAAAAGGGAACAAUAAUGAUAAUUUGCAUAUUUUAAUUCUCAAUCAACAGAUAUGAGAGUGACAGACAGUAGAGUUUAACAGAAAAAAUAUUAAUGAUAUUAGUCAUGAGUUAUGAACUGCAAUAUCAACAACAUAACCUGGUUCUGUAUACUUCCCAGGUUACAUUACAUGUCCUUAAUGUGUUGGUUUAUUCAUGUGAUCUUCUAUAUAGCUGCCUAUUUUUGCGGUCCUAACAACAAGUUUGGUCCUCCUUUAGGUAUGUCUCAAAGAUCAACUAAAGCUAAACAAGUCAAUGAUUAUAGUGAUUGUAGUCUUUCUGAUCAAACCAUUCAAUAAGUUAAUUAAUGCUAUUUGAAUUUGAAAACCUUGGAUGGACCUUGAAUUAUAUCAAUUAUGAUCUUGAAAUUCGAUAAUGAUGAAACUGAUCUUGAUUAGCAUGGAUGCCAUUUUCAAAUGAGAUCGCAACAAACAAGUUCCAUAACUAGCUUGACAACAAAGUUGGCAGAACAUAACCCAAGCAUUCGAUCUGCCUUAUAUACAGUUCCUAGUUACACUUAGACAUCAACUGUUUUUGGAUCUACCCCCUAUUAGCUAUCUACCUUUUCAUUCUCACAUUAAUGAACUUAAAUCCUCUCUUCUCUCUUACUUUCCAAUUCCAUCUCUCAAUAAGUUACUACUCACCAAUGGAAGACUAAAAAAGGUUACACCCCUUUCAUACCAAGUAAUUAAACUUUUUUGGAACAGGGCUGAAGCAGAGGAAAUUAAGUAGACAAGGAUUUGAUUCCAAUUCUCCAUUCUUUAAUAGUCAUUAUACAAUAGAAUAAACUAAGGCCCGUUUGGAAGAACUCAUUUGAUCAUAUAUUAUAACAUAACUACUUAUGCAAGUGUUUGACAAAUGUAGCUUAUGACCUACUUAUAAGUUAUUUUGAGCUUAUUUUCAUAAUUUAUUUAGAUUAACUUAUGAGUGAAGGCUCAUGCAUAUGCAUAACACAUUUCCAGCAUAUUUCGAUAUGUUUCUCAAAUUAACUUAUGCAAUAAGCGCUUAAUUAAACUAUUUACUCAAACACAUCCUAAGUGAAUGUUUGGUUUUAUUAUUUGCCCAAAAUACAAAACCAGAAGUUAUGACUUGUAGCAUACUCAGAAGUAGUUUACAGUUUACACAAUACACGCGUACUCAGAAGUUAAGACUUGUAGCUUCUAACCAGGAGUGGUUCUGUACUAUUUACUCUGAACCCAAGCUUACUAUUAAACCGACAAUUUGGCUUUUGCUAAACAGAUAUAUGAUACAUUAUUCACACUUUCCCUGAAAUAAAGUUACUAAAAAAAGAUAGCAUUUCUGAUUCCUAUAUGUAAAACUCACGAUUAACCUAGUUACCUACAUGUAUUGAUUUGACAUGGUGGUCAAUUAAUUUGUGAACUACUAACUAUGAUAUAGUACAUGCAGCCAGUGUACCAAAUAGUUUCUCCUCAUAAUUGAACUAGGGGAGUUGAAGUAAUAGAAGUCCCAAGCUCAUGCUUAUGCUAAGAAGUGGUGGUGAAAAUAUCUGUCCAUGUUUGCUUAGUUUUGAAUUUUGAAGAAAAAUCCACCUUAUUUUAAACUCUUCUACAUAGGCGGCUAAAAAAUGAUUGAUAACCUGUACUUGCUUCUUCUUCAUUCGGCGGUUUGCUUUAACUGAAGAGAGGUGGUAGAAGAAGACAUUUAUGAAUGUAGUUUUUACUCAUAGUGAUCAUCAACCUCUUAAGCCUUAUAUAUAGACCUUCUUUCCAAUUGCUCAAUGCAAACCAUCGAGUAUUCAAACUCAGAAUAUCUUAGACAAUAUUAUAACACUCCUCAUGGCUAGUUCUUUGGGUUUUGGCUUUUGUACGAUAACAAGCUUGGUUCUUGUUCUGUUUCUGAGUUCUGUUUCUGCUCAGCACACAAGGGCUUUCUUUGUUUUUGGUGAUUCACUUGUGGACAGUGGCAACAAUGACUUUCUUGCAACCACAGCUCGUGCUGAUGCUCCACCCUAUGGCAUUGACUUCCCAACACACCGACCCACUGGACGCUUCUCUAAUGGCCUAAACAUCCCUGACCUAAUCAGUAUGAAAAUUUGUUACAAUUUUGCAAAUCAAUUCAAUCAGUUUUGACUAAUAAUACUACAUGUUAACACAUGCCUAUUUAUUUCUACCAUUACAUGCAUGCAUGGCUAUAACAUUAAUCUUAGCUCGGUUAGAAAUUUUACAUAAAUUUGUUGAGUGAAUCCAUAUUAAUGAUUUUAUAUUAUAUUUCUAACAUGUGCCUAUAACCUUGCUCAACUUUUGUUUAUAUUGCAGGUUUGGAGCUUGGUUUAGAGCCUACUCUACCAUAUUUGAGCCCUUUACUAGUUGGAGAGAAGCUUCUAAUUGGUGCCAAUUUUGCAUCUGCAGGGAUUGGCAUUCUCAAUGAUACAGGAAUUCAGUUUGUAAGCUCAAUUUGUUCAUUUACUUAUAUUGCUUAAUUCCCUUGUUUUUUUCUUGUCAGAAUGGAACUAUAUAAAAUUGAUUCAUGGGUGUUGAGAGUAACAUUAACAUUUUUUAUUUUGGUUUGGUAGCUGCACAUUAUUCACAUAGAGAAGCAACUCAAGCUCUUCCAACAGUAUCAGAAAAGAGUAAGUGCACACAUUGGCAGAGAGGGAACUCGGAACUUAGUGAACAGAGCACUUUUUCUCAUCACUCUUGGAGGCAAUGAUUUUGUCAACAAUUACUACUUGGUGCCUUAUUCAGCAAGAUCUCGCCAAUAUUCUCUCCCUGACUACGUGCGCUAUAUCAUAUCCGAGUACCGCAAAGUUCUGAGGGUAACUCUGAACUCUAAACCCUAAACUUAAUAAUUGAGUGCUAAUGUCAUAUCGCAUAUCUUACAAAUUUGAUAUGUAUAUAUUGUAUCCACAACAUAAGACUUCGAAAGUCAUUACUAAUUUGUGUCGUCAUCACCUAAUAGCUUGAGUUUUUUUGGAAUAGGUAGUUUAUGAUACAAUAGUGACAAAAUUGAAUAGGCAGUUUGUUAAGGACAUUUAAUACAAUGCAUGGGCAUCAUUAAAGGGUAAAAUGCCUAUCUGAUUAAUUAGAGUCAUGGUCAUGUUUCAAUAAGGCUAGUGAGUGUAUUGGUACAGAAGGCAUAUAUGUAUUAUGUUUUGGUCGGUGAGGUAUACAUACCAAAUUAAUUAUUUUGUUUGCCCCUUCCAAACAUGUUAUUAUUAAAUGCUGUUUCUCACAUGACAUCCCCAUCUUAGCUAUGCCUUAAUUAACAUAGGGAAACCUAUGUUUGAGAAACAUUUUUGAUAAAUAAAUGCUUGGAAAUUUAUGCAGAAGAUGUAUGAUUUGGGAGCUCGUAGGGUUCUGGUAACGGGUACAGGGCCAAUGGGGUGUGUUCCAGCAGAACUAGCUAUGAGAAGCAGAACUGGUGAUUGUGAUGUGGAACUCCAGAGAGCUGCAUCGUUGUACAAUCCACAACUCGUUAAUAUGAUCAAAGGACUCAACCAAGAGCUUGGUGCUGAUGUGUUUAUUGCUGCUAAUGCUUAUCAGAUGCACAUGGACUUCAUUUCCAACCCCAGAGCUUAUGGUAUGUGCCAUGCAACUAGCUGCCUAGAACUUUUCAAUUUAAAAUUAUAUGAUGUUUGAGAAAAAAAAUUAGUAUAUCAGUAAAAACACACACACACACACACACACACACACACACACACACACUUUUGAGCUACAAUUAGUAGCACUAAAUUUUUCAUUUAUCCUAAAUUCUCAAUUUAUCAUGUAGUCCGACCUUUCAGCCAUUUUUUUAUCAGUUCUAAAUUAUACCCUUGGCAUUAUUUAAAUUGGUUCUAGAAAUUCUAUAAUUUGCCUAAAAACAAGUUCAAUGGAUCAUGAACAUUGCUAGCAAUAUACUUUUAAGCACACUUAUUUCAACUCAUUCUCUUUUUUGUUGGAUGAGUACCUGUCCCACUAAAUCAUAUCAAUACAUUUAUUUUUAUGGGACACAUACUCUUUGUUAAAGAAUUUCAUUUAAAAAAUAUGACUUGAAGAAGCAAAUGGGUCCUCUUGGCCACACUUCUCUCUAGCAUGCCUCCAACAAAGAUGUUAACCAUUGUUACUAAGAUUGCUAAAUGAGAAAAUUAAAUUGGUCAAUAUGGAACACAAUGAAUUAUUACAUGACAGCUGCAGAUGAUUCAAAUCGAUUAAUAACGUUUUGUUAGCCUCGCUCAAUAUAAAGCUAUCAUAAUUAAUUUUAUAAUUGAUAUUAAAAACUUAUUAACUUAUUAAAAAACCACUUAAAGCAUGUUAUUUUUUUGAACUCCACUUAAAACAUGUUUAAUAAUUAAUAAAUAUCACAGACUUAAAGUGUUUUGUUUUAAAGAAAUAAAAAUUAUUUUCUUUUUAUUUUAUUGGGUCAAAUUGUUAUAAAAGUUUGAAACUAUUGCACAAGCAAAAAUGAAGCCUAAUUUCCCCUUUUGUGUGAAAAGCCCAAAAUCCCUUUAACCAUGUUGACAAACAAUACUUUUUGGGCUUUCAGGUUUUGUGACAUCAAAGAUAGCAUGCUGCGGGCAAGGCCCAUACAAUGGGAUUGGGCUGUGCACACCGGCCUCAAACCUGUGCCCAAACAGAGACAUUUACGCAUUUUGGGAUCCAUUCCAUCCAUCAGAGAGAGCAAGUAGAAUCAUUGUUCAACAGAUCCUGCGUGGCACCACUGAGUACAUGCACCCCAUGAAUCUCUCCACUAUCAUGGCCCUUGAUUCCAGGACUUAAUCUCAAUUAGGUUCUUGCUUUUUCUCACUACUAGUAUCUAAGCUUAGUUGUGUUCUAUUCUAUUAUCCAUGUGUGUGUGUGCGCGCGCUUUAUUUAUGCGUUCUUUUGAGUUUUGAUGAUCUCCUAGCUAGCUAGUGGUUUGGAGUGCAUUGGGUGCAACGAAAUAAUGCACCGGUUUGUAGUUUGUCAUAUGAUCUUGUGUUGCCAAUAAUAAAAAUGUCUAUCUUUCAAUUGUUAUUUUGUGAAGAUUGAUUGAUGGUAUAUUUCAAUUUAACUUUUAUUUUUUGAGAUAUUUUUAUAAAUAUUUCUUUCAAUAUAGGCUAUUGAUUAUAAAUAUUUGGGAGAGUUUGAGAAAAUGUAUUGAUUAAGAACUAAAUAAUUCAAUAGCCAUCCUCUUAUGUAAAAUGCAGCUUCUAUUUUUUUUCUUUCUUUUCUAUGGAAUUAUUGUGGAAUAUUGAAGUAAGAGAUAGGGACCUAUAGAAUGAAUGACGAUCACUUUCUUUGUUUGGUUUUAUAUGAAGAAAAUGGGAGAGGAGGGUCUAGGCCCCAAAUUUGAGCUUUUUGACGUGGAAAGAAAAAAAACAUUUGGACAAUAUAUAAAUGUUUUGGUCCAAAAAUUGUCCUAAUCUCAUCAUAAAUAAGUAGAAGCAAUUUCAUAAUUCUAUCUGUUAUACCUUUUUUUAUUGCAUCACUUAAUCUAAAUAGCUUAAAACCUCAUAAUUUUAUCCUUAUUUUGUCUUCUUUGACAUCUUUAUCAUAUUUAUUCUCCUUCUUGACUUCUAAAUUUAAACAAGGAGGAGCAUUUUUGUGUGAAGACAUGCAAGCACAAAGACAUUGCAUAACCCCCUCUCCCUGCCUCCAGAAAAAAAAUGCAUUGAAGAGCCAACCAUAGAGGGUGGCAACUAUAAGAAACUUCGCUGAAAUAAAUAUCUAUGGGCCAUGUCAGUUUCUUUAUAUGACAUUAACGCAGCCUCCAAAUGCGAUAUACGGAUUAGAUUAAAUUCAAUUUAGCCAAAUUGCAAUUUUUAGCUUCAUCAUUGUUUUGCAAAAAUGAGCAAAUCACAAAUUAUUAUUUAUUUUUCAGAAAAUCUAGACCACGUCAUGUUUCGUAACACUUUCACAAUGUGCGUCAUUAGUGUCAAACAGCUUAUACAAUAUUAACACUGUCAUCAUGGCCAUCACUAACCCGCUUAAGUGACGUAGUAUGAUUUAACAGAAAUUCAAACAUAUAAAAUCGAGGAAGUGUGUGAUAUGAGGCAUGAGUUUUGAGUUCAAGUUCAUGGCUUAAUUUGAUCAAAUUUACUAAAUGAAUAGCCGAAAAAGUUGGUUGAAAAAGAUCAAUUAUGUACGUGUAGAUCAAAUUAACACUAUAUCGUGGUGAAGGGGUCAAGGGGGGGUGUUAGUUGAACGGUUUCUUCAGCCAAUUAUGUGAUAUCAAGGGUAUUAGGUGUAGAGUGGUUGGUUAUAAAGGCCAUACAGCUCAUACACUUUUACUUCGAUCGUUCUUGAAUUAAUUACCUUAUAAUAAAGUGGUCCUUAUAAUUCAUCAAUCAUCUAUGGAACCAAUCAAAAUUGAAUAUCGUUGUCACUAUUAAUGUGCCUAUGUGUCUCCGUAUACGCCCACUGCUUCCACUAUGAUAGAAAGAUUUAGUAACUCCUAGAAAAAAAACAUGAUGCUUUCUUUUAAGAUAUGUCACACUUAGAUGGAUAUAUAGUCAUUUAAGGAGUAAUCUUCUAUUUUCUUUAAGGGAGGAUGGGUACUCAUUCACCUUUAUUUUGUAUUCUGCUUAUUAGUAGUAUUCAACUUGAUGACUUGAACAGAAUUAAUUAAUUGUUAGUCAAUUUUUGAAAGCCCUUUUAGGUUUUAAAUGAUAUAUAUGGGUGUUUGACUAUUUAUUUAGAGUAUUACUAUAUAUCAUAUAUCAUGAUUUUUGAGAAUUGAUGUUUUAAAAAGUGACAUCCAUUGCUCAAUCGAUGGGAGGAACCAAGAAAAAUAGGUAGGGGCGGAAAUUUAACCUAAUAAAUAAAAUUAUUGAUGAUUAAUUGAGAUAUGUAUGAACUAUGAAGCACAAAAAAUUUAAAGACACGACUUCCAUAUCAAAUAUACGACUUUGUUAAGUAACUAUUUUGUUUCUUGAGAGAUAAUUUCAGUUCAUAUGUGUUACGAGAUAAUUUCAAUGAAAAAAUGAACUUUAAUACAACAAACACAAAAGUAACCCCUUACUUUUGUUAGGUUAAAUGUGCUUUUAAGUUGAUCUCAACUUGAAUCCAAACACAUCUUCAAUGUUAGUUCUUAUUGUUUUUUCUUUCGUCGUUUCAGUUAGAUACAAGUGAAUGAAUGUGUGCUGAAUUUAGAAAAUAGCAUGGUUAAUUUGCAUAUAAUUUUGAGUGAGAAUGCUAUUUCCCAAUAUUACCAAUUUUGAUGCUUCUAUAUUAUAUUUACUUAAUUAUCUUCAAUUAUAUCCAUCUUAAUAAGGACCUGUACUCCACACAGUAGACAUAAGCAUAGUCCUAACUUAAUGCUUCCAAACAUGGCACAUUGAAUCCUGAAUUGCACCACUAACAGUACUAUCUAGUAUCUAAGCAACUUGAGCUUUACAAGGGUGUUUUAAAUCCUGGAAAUAGGACCUGAACUAUUUAACAAAUAUACAGCAAAACAAUAGAUCAGUAGUUUUAAAUUUAGGCCACUCUACCAUUUUGCAAGGUGUAGUACUACUGCAUUAAAUUGAACAAUUCAUACCAAGUCACCAACAAUAGCAGCUCAUGAAAGAACAUAAUUAAUGCAUCUCUCUAACUACUAUAUGGUAGAACAGAGCUUAUAGGAUUCCUUUUAAACAAGCAGUUGAUUUUGAAACUCAACUAAAUAAUUGAUGUGUAAAUGGUAAACCCCUCGACAGUUGAUGUAAUCAAAACCAUAGAUCAGAAAGAGUAACAAGUCUAGCGUCAAGCCAAUCAUAGGAACAUUUUUUUGGUUGAAAUCAAAUCAUCAUUGCAACAUUAAAAGACUGCUUUUGGUUAAACCAGAAGACUAAUUUGAUAAUUUAACAUUUGAAGACUUCAGUAACAAAGAUUUCUCCAACAACUGCCAUUAUUGAUGGAAAUUAAUGGUUUAUAUAUCAGAAUGAGUACCAUUAUGCAUAUACUCAAUGCUCUUUUAUAUGAAUAAUUUUUUUGAAAAAGUUGCACAAAUAAAUACGAUUGAUUGAAAGAAUGAAAGCAGAGCAUACAAUCCUAAGAAACAACUUUUACAUUGACCUUGCCAUUUGCUCUUAGGUACUUCUACUUUUUAGUUUUUAUACUUCCUUUCAUAACAAUUUCUUCUAGGGGUUCUCUUAAUCAACCAAAAUAAAUAUGAGGUAAAAUCAUUUUAGUAUUAGGUGUUCAAGUAAUAUUUUGACAUGUGUUAUCAACUGGAAUUUCUUAAAGCGCAUAUCAAAAUUUUACUAAAUUCAAAAGUAGGUAGAAGGAGAAAAUGUAGCAAGUGACUGAUUUGGUAAAUUAUUAAGAACAUAGAUCAUAAAGCUUGACCAUCGUCGCAAGUGGUGGUGUGGAGCCAUGACCACAACCGCGAAAGGUGGUUUUAGGGUUUAGGUAAGAGGAAGAGAAAGAGGAAGAAGAAGAAUGAGAAGAGAAUGAUUCCAAACUGAUGGAAAAAGUUAAAGGAAUCAAAGUUGAUUAUAUUUUUUUUUAUCAAACCGAUAUUAAAAAGUCUAUGUGGACACUUCUUUAUUUGACGAAGAUUAAUUAACUUACCACGUGAGAUGAGACGGAGAAAAAAACCAUCCAGCUGAAAAUUAAAACAUCAUUAAGGACUUUUUUGUAUAACUUUUUUUAAGGGACUAAAAGUGAUGUAAAAGUUUUUUUUUUUUUUUGACCAAAACCGAGUUAAAAACAUAUUUAACCCAUUCAUAUACAUUAAAUUUCAAACAAAUUGUACUAUGUCGGUAACAGGACACAAAAUGCCAACGUGUUUCAUAAUUGAACUUGAGUGGUAAAAUAAUGCCCGUGCAUCAGAAGCAUGCAUGACACGAAAUUGCCUUUUUUUCCUUUUGUAGCAAAAAAUUAAAGAGCCUCGUGUCCAGUCUUUACACAUUAUAUCAGAUCAAGCGUGACAUUGUUAGAUUCAUGCAUUGCAUACUAUACAGUAUACACUGUCCUGCAUUACCCUGCUGAUUUGACCUCAAUUUUCACUGCAUGCAACUACCAUGUCUGUAGUAGUGUACUGCCAUAUGCAUUUUUCUGUGUGGGCCAUUCAACAGGUUCUGUUUCAAAAAUCAUAGAAUCUUCAUACUAUAUAACACCCCUUCCCAAUUCCUCUGACAUAUCAAUUAAAGUUGUUUAUUUGCAGAGUUCAAAGAACCUUUUGAACUCUGUACUUCAUUUUUCCUCUACAACUCCUCUGUCUCUUUAGUAUCCAUGGCUAGUUUGGCAUGUUACAUUGUUUUAGUGGUGGCACUAGCGAGUGGUUUCAGAGGUGCAGAGGCAGCACGUGCUUUCUUUGUGUUUGGAGAUUCACUUGUUGAUAAUGGCAACAACAACUACUUGGCAACUACUGCAAGAGCUGAUUCUCCUCCUUAUGGCAUUGAUACCCCAAAUGGCAGACCCACUGGCCGUUUCUCCAAUGGCCGCAACAUUCCUGAUUUUAUCAGUUCAGUCAAUUAACUUCUUUUAAUUCUUGCACUUUAACAUUUUUAAUAUGUUUGGUUCCACCGUGACAUGCUCAAAUUCCAUGCAUUCAGGAAAAUUGAAAUUCUGAAUUCAAUGAAGUCAGAGAACCUUAAUUGUUUGAUCUUGAUCCGACGUCUCUAAGUUAAAUAAGUUCUAUUUAAAUUGGAGUCGUCUGAUAAUCAGACGGUCAAACAUGUCUAACUUCAGUGAAUGCAUGAAUCUUUGAAUUUAGGGAAUCCGAAUUCAAAAUGCUCUAGCAUCAUUUAACUUCUAAGCCUUAAAUUCUGCAUAAAUUGUGAAACCAAACACGCCAUUGUUACAUGUGUUUGCUUUGGAAGGUAUGAGUAUAAUGUAGUUGAUUACUCAUAUUUCUAUAUUUGUGUGAUUUUGUAGGUGAACAACUUGGGGCAGAACCCACUUUGCCUUAUUUGAGCCCUGAACUCAAUGGGGAUAAUUUGCUUGUUGGAGCCAAUUUUGCCUCUGCUGGCAUUGGAAUUCUCAAUGACACUGGAAUCCAAUUUGUAAGUGAAAUUGAAGAUCAAGAUUAAUAGCAUGUUUGGAUCAGUUUACUUUAUCUUAGAAUCAAUUUUGACAGUUCGAAGCUACUCACAUGAACUUCUCCUCGUACAAUAGUACCAUUUGGUUCCACAAACAAAAUAUUGGUUGUUGGAUGAUUAUAUGUGUAUUAUAAUUUGUUGCAAUGCAAUUGCAGAUUAACAUAAUCAGAAUAUUCAGACAGUUGGAGUACUUCGAUGAAUAUCAGCAGAGGGUGAGUGCUCUAAUUGGACCUGAAGAAACUCAGCGCUUAGUAAAUGGAGCACUGGUCCUCAUCACUCUUGGAGGCAACGAUUUUGUGAAUAACUAUUACUUGGUGCCUUUCUCGGCAAGAUCUCGCCAGUACUCUUUACCGGAUUACGUGAGGUACUUGAUCUCCGAGUACAAGAAAGUUCUCAGGGUAAAGUCUUCACCUGCUCAUAUUAGCUUAUAAAUAAACGCUUAUAUAUAAAAUUUAUUUUAUAUAUUUUAUAUAUAUUUCAAUAAGUUUCUCAAAUUAACUUAACUGCAGAGCCUGUAUGAUAGAGGAGCACGAAGGGUCCUGGUGACAGGAACGGGUCCAUUGGGCUGUGUUCCGGCAGAAUUGGCAAUGCGAAGCCGAAACGGUGAAUGCUCUCAGGAGCUGCAGCGUGCGGCAGCAUUGUUCAACCCUCAACUUGUUCAGAUUCUGCAACAACUUAAUAGCGAAAUUGGUUCAAAUGUCUUUAUUGGAGCCAACACAAGACAAAUGAACAAUGACUUCAUCAGUAACCCUGGAGCUUUUGGUAACUAUUAAAAUACAAACAUUACCUUCUACAAAAUUAUCACUGCCUCUUAUAUAGUAUACGGCAUAAAUAUACAGUACAUAUUUGACAUUAUUGAGCAUUAGAGUAUGAAUACAAAUACUAACUGAGGUUCCUAAGGUUUUUCUUGUGACAGUACUUGUUGGAGGCAGGGCCUAUGGGGAAAUCAUUUUUUCCCUUUCCUUCUUUUUAAUGUCUCUAAAUAGUAAAUACAUAAUGUCACUGUCAGUAGGUCUCAAUUCUUAAAUGAUAACUAGAUAUUUUUAUGAAAUUUUAGAAAAUAUAAGCAUUUCCUUCUCUUUUUCUUUUUCUUUCUGUAAAGUUCAAAUGAUCACCACAUAUCAUAACAUGAUCGACAGACAUAUCAUUUUUGGCGACAUCUUUCAAACAUGCAUUUUUGCGACAAUUUUUAUGAUUUUAUCCCCACAAAAUAUUGUGAAGAUUAAAAACCGCAAUAAAUGAGUAUCUCUGAAGGGUAUCACCGUAUAUGUGUAUGUAUAAUCAUUCUUCCUCUAGCAUCUAAAUCUAAAUGAAGACAAACAAUUAGAUAUGGCAUAAAUGAUUGAUGAUAGUACUAUACUAAAGCAGUUGAUGUUUUGGUGAUGCAGGAUUUGUUACAUCAAAAGUAGCAUGCUGUGGUCAAGGACCUUAUAAUGGUCUUGGACUGUGCACUACAGCAUCCAACUUGUGCCCAGACCGUGAUGUUUAUGCAUUUUGGGAUCCCUUCCAUCCAUCAGAAAGGGCCAACAGCUUCAUUGUUCAACAGAUCAUGUCAGGCAACACAGAGUACAUGUAUCCAAUGAACCUCAGCACCGUUUUGGCCAUUGAUGCAGCCAACAACUAGCUAAUCCUGCUGCAGAAACUGCAUCAUCUCAUUUUAGUAUUGCAAUUAAUGCAACUUUUGUGUUUGUGAUAAUGUCUUGAAGAUUUAUUUGGAGUCACUGUACUCUUCAAGCUGUUAAUUAGUAUUUAGGAGUGUGAUUGUUUGCGAAAUUGUCUCGAACUUGUGGGUUACUAUGUGGUAUUGAGUGAGUGAGGAUAGUUAAGCACCGUCUUUGUUCUCAUUCUCUUUGGCAGAACAGAAAAGCUGCAUAAUAAUUAUUGAUAAUUAAGUGAUUUUUUGUGUUCAAAUAGUUUCCUCUUUUCCUCUCUAGUAUUAAGUAACAAUGCAACCUUGCAGUUGAAUUAUGAGGCAUCAUUUGGCUUUAUCUCUAAUGGAAAAGGUCAUUGCCUAAUCACAUAUCUUGCAAAUGAUGGCACAAAUUAGGUUCAAGUCAAUUAAGCCAUACCCCUAAGUCAAAGACUCAAAGCAACUUUAUGAUCAAAUUAGAGACGACAAAACCCUAAUUAUCAUGAAGCACAGAGAAAUUUAAUCACAAAUAACAUAAUCAACAAAAAAAUAUGUAAUCAUAUAAAUACAAAACUAAGAUUCUGAUCGCAUAGUCUCGAAGAUUCCAUACCCAGUCACCCAAGCUUGGCAUGAUGAAUGAGCUUUCCAAACAUAACCCUAAAACCGACUCGGGGGCGGAACCCACAAGGACAAAGAGCAUGACGAAACGUACCACAACCAUAAAUGGCGCCACCUUCCUGAUAUCAUAAAUGGUCAUUGCCUUAAUACCAUGAUUAAGGUCCUUAGAGUAACAACCCAUAAUGUUAAUCACAUGGGGGAACCAAAUAACGCUAAACCUCUAAUAAGGGACCUCCCCAAAAGAGAUAGACAUCUUCUUUCACAAACGAAUUUUGGAACCUAAGUUGAGUACUUCUUUCAUUUGAUAAAAUACCCAUAAUUUAAGGAAAACAAAAAUUAAAGUAAAAAUAAUGGAAAAGAAAUAAUAAAAGGAGAGUAAAUGAUCUAAAUCAUGAGUCUAGGUGAAAAACAAACAAAACAACAACGCCAGCAAGUCUAAGCAUAGGAAAAAAUAUUACAUAAAAAGGGGAAAACUUCUAAAUACGCAUAAGAGACUUCUCGCGUGAAGCUUGUCGAGUUAAAAAUUCUUGUAUCCAAGUUGACCGUGAAGUUUCAAAAUAAAAAAUUAUUAAGUCUGGUUUACAUGUAGCUUUUCUAAAAAAGUAAAAAUUGUUUUGACCCUAAACAUGUCAAUUUUCUCUACCCUCUGCCCUUUAUAAAAAAAGGUAGCCCCAAGGUAUUCUUACCGCUGGUAGCUAUGAGACUAAUCCCUCGAGGCUCUAAGAUCAUGUUAACUAUUAAGUGAGUAGGCAUCUCCCAACAAAUGUUUUUCCAUACGCCAAGUAUUUCUUUCAUUCAUUUCCUUCCUUUCAGCCUUUUGCCCUAGCAUGAAAUUAACAAGGACACGAACAUAUUUUUAGUUUUUCAGUAUUAGUAAUUAGAAGAGAACGUAUAAAUGUAUAUAUUUUAUACUCGUGACUAGUGUAAUGCAAUCCAUCACCUGUGAAAUGACUAUAUUGGUUGAAUAGUAAAAGCAUGAAGCAUCAAACACAGGGAAACACACUUCUUUUCACUUUUUGCUUCUUUUUUCUAAUUCUACUAAUGCAUUUGGGCGGUGACAUAAUUUCCUGUAGCAUCUUCACUACCUAAGUUGUCUCUUUAAGAUACACUCCUCACAUGUCAUGCACUUUUAGAACUAGAAAACCUGAGUCGAAUCAAAUCCCAUUAAAGUCUCCCUAGAGUUUAUGCAAGGAGAUAGUACUCCCCCAACCAAGUAUAGUAGCAAGUGAUAUCUGCCAGAAAUAGUUCUUUACUUUUUCCUUUUUUGUUUUUAAGGAAAAAUUAAAAAAGUAGUGAAAACCAGCUAUAAAAAGCCUUGAAUUCAUGAAUGAUGUAUCCACAUACACAUUGUUGUUGAAAGCUUGUUUUCAACUUCCUCAAUGACAUUGCCAUUUCCCUCAAGUUUUGUUCCCUUGGUGAUUAUACUUUUAGUAGUAGUAGGGGUCAUUUUCCCAGGAGCUGAGGCCAAGUCCAAGUCGUCCAAGCCUAAGCCCAAGCCCAGCAGGGCUUUCUUUGUGUUUGGAGACUCACUUGUUGACAGUGGCAACAACAAUUACUUGGCCACCACUGCAAGGGCUGAUUCCCCUCCUUAUGGAAUUGACUACCCAACUCGCAGGCCCACGGGUCGUUUCUCCAAUGGCCUCAACAUUCCUGAUCUUAUUAGUUAAGUAUCAUUCUCCAUCAACUAACUAUUUAUGAUUUUUUUUUAUCAAGUGAAUUGGUUAAAUUGGUUCUGAAAGUGAUUGACACGGCAAGUUCAUCUAUGGACUUAGGAAAUACAACACAUGGCCCCUGAUUGUGGUCAGAUAAAACAUCGAUUAAGUUAGUCCCCACAUUUUAUACAAUUAGGGACCCCAAAUAUAGUAAUUAUUUCUUCAAGUGACGAACUUACCGACAUCCAACACUUUCAUGAAUCAAUUUAGCUAUUCACUCUUUUUUUUAUCACUUGUUUGAGAUUAGUUUCAUUCUCAAGCUUCACUUCCAUAUCAUCCAAUAGGGACAUACUUUUGGAUGAUAAUAUAGACAUUUGGAUGUCAUAGAAGAGAAUUGAUUUCAACUCAAAAUAAUUUUUGUGUAGAAGUUAAGUAGAAUAGGUUUUGAGUUGAACAUAUAUAGUCAAUCUUAAUUUCACUACAUUACCUUGAAAAAUAUUUUUUUUCUUAAAAGUAUUCAAACAUAAAUCACUUCACUUUAAGUUUAUUUCAGUUCAACUCACCUUUACCACAAUCAAUUUUACCAAAAUCAACUUUAUUUAAAAUCAAUUGUGACAACACUGAUCGAAACAAACACUUAGUGCAUGUCUUGAAAUUCUUCUAUAAUUGUUUAUAAAGUCAGAAUCAAUUAUUAAAAGAAGCUUUGUGUUUCAUAAUUGAUUCUAAGAAAAAAAAACACAUGCAAUUGUACAUGUAGACAUGACAUUUGUGUAUUGCAUCUAAUUAUUGUUAACUAGCUGCUUUGAUUAUUAUCAGGCCAACAACUAGGUGCUGAGUCUGUCCUGCCAUACUUGAGUCCACAACUGAGAGGUAACAAGCUUCUACUUGGAGCCAAUUUUGCUUCAGCUGGAAUUGGCAUUCUUAACGACACCGGAACUCAGUUUGUAAGUACAAUAAAAUGCAUACCACCAUAUAUGAUCCACACUGCAAGCUAGUAUAAUGCAUAUAUAAUCACCUUUUUUUGUUUGUUUAAUUAAUUUUCUUCAUUUAAAAUAUGCUGGUUAAUUAGCAAUUGUGGCUUAAUAAUUUGCAGCUAAAUAUAAUCAGAAUGUAUAGACAAUUGGACUAUUUUGAAGAGUAUCAGCAUCGACUGGCCUCUCAAAUUGGAGUAACAAAGACCAAGGCACUGGUGGAUAAAGCAUUGGUCCUUAUCACUGUUGGUGGAAACGAUUUUGUUAACAACUACUACUUGGUGCCUUAUUCUGCAAGGUCUCGCCAGUAUUCACUACCAGAUUAUGUUAAAUUUCUCAUUAUAGAGUUCCGUAAACUCUUGCAGGUAAUUAUCAAGUCUUAUUACAUAACCUUUUUGAGCACAAAGAAUAAUAAUAUAUAGUAACUUUUCUAGCUGAAUGAACUUCACUUAUGUGGUCUUGCUUCUUUGUGUGACCAUUUAAUGCAGAGAUUAUAUGAUUUAGGAGCUCGCAGAGUUAUUGUGACUGGCACUGGACCAUUGGGUUGUGUUCCUGCAGAAUUGGCAAUGAGAGGAACAAAUGGAGGAUGUUCUGCUGAACUUCAACGAGCUGCAGCAUUGUACAACCCUCAACUACUGCACAUGAUACAAGCUCUAAACAAGAAAUUUGGCAGAGAGGUUUUUGUUGCAGCAAACACAGGACAAAUGCAUAACGAUUUCAUCACUAACCCCAAAGCAUAUGGUAGUACUCUAACUUCUAUAUAUACCAACUUCUUAGUGUAUAGUCAUUUUGGCCUUUAAAGAUAUGAGUUCCGUCAACGUAAUUCUUGAAAGAUUGAAAAAAGAAGAAUAGUUACGAAAAGACUGACCAUUUAAUCAUUGAAAGAUGAAAAUCACAAUCUAAAAAAUGACGGUUCAUUUUAGUCUCUGAAAGACUAAAUUGAAAUUUAGUUUCAUCUUUCAAUGACUAUUUUAUCUAUUUCUUUAGCAGAGGGCAAAGGUGACCGAACUGAUAUAUUUCUAGGACUAAAUGACUACAAUUCUAAGCAAACAAUUUAAAGCACCAACUAACAAGUAUAUAAAUAUGUGAUUGUUUGUUGGGCAGGAUUUACUACAUCAGAAAUUGCUUGUUGUGGGCAAGGACCCUACAAUGGGAUUGGGCUGUGCACACC